rnacentral:lncRNA from 1 species
AAGUACAGAUAUGGAUUCCUUCCCAGAGGAGAAGGGCCUACUGCUUCCCUCUUCCCUAACCUCUCUUAAGAUCGAAGAUUUUAAAAAUCUGAAAUCAAUAUCCAGGGGCAUUCACCAUCUCACCUCUCUUGAUACAUUAGUAAUUCGAAAGUGCCCUAAACUCCAGUCCUUUCCCAAGGAAGGCCUUCCGAGCACGCUUGAAAGGUUGGCAAUCUUCGAGUGCCCCCUCCUGGAAAGACGAUGCAGAAAAGAGAAAGGAGACUAUUGGCGCUUUAUUGCCAAUAUCCCCUACCAUAAAAUAAAAUGAGGUAUAAUCUUUUUACUUUUGCUUGCAGCUUAAACUAUAACUGAUAUAUGCAACAUUUUGAAGCCAAAAUAGAAUAGAUAUAAAAAAAUUAAUUGCAUUCAAUUAUGUGGUGUUUCAAGUUUCAACCAUAUUACCACAUUCUGUUCAGAAUGGCGGUUGAGAAUGAAUUGGUGGUUGAGAAUGAAUUACAUGUUCUGUUCAGUUGGUUCUAACUCAUAAUGCAUAAAUUGGAAAAGUUUCUAUAGGUUUUAUUCUUUCAUUGUUCCGACACUGACAUGAGCUGAUUUUAUACAUAUCAAAUCUUGGCUGCAAAUAAUGCAAUUGUUUCUUCAGGUCUGCAAAAGCCGUGACUGCUUAGGCCAGGAUCGAGAUUGUCAUAAUCGUCUCAAAUCCAAUCCCUGCUGGUAAGGAUAACGGUUUCAUGGAUUCUUAGCAUUUCUAAUCCUAGGAGGGGUGUAUGGGGGAGGCCUGUUGGUCGGGUUUAGAUGGAUUAGUUAUGUUAAGUUUUUCAUGUUUUUAAUAAUAAAAUUUAAUUUUCAAAAAAAAAAAAAAAAAANNNNNNNNNNNNNNUCUUGUUUUUGCUACAUAUGACUACAAUGAGCAGUUGUUGACAAUUUAUCAGAGAAGAAUUCUGUUUCCUAUGUUGAGAUACUUAUAUGAGCAUAUUUGUUUAUUUAUUGACAAAGAUUUAAUGCUCUGGAAGUAUUAUUUAAAGUGAAGAAAGUUUACAGACAUUGGUUGAGAAUUUUUCAGAUGGAAAUUAUCCCUUUUUUUUUAACUGGAAUAGGGUCCGUCCUUCCUACAAAACAUCUAGUCAAGAGUCAACUGAUCUCAAAUGACUUGCUAUUCAUGCAAACAACAGCUCGUCUGCACUGAGAUGCAAAUAACUAUAUUGGCAAUGUGACUUUAUGGAGCAAAAUCUGAUUCUAAAUGAAAAAAUUACAUCAAAAUAAUCUGUAUGUUUCAAAAUCUAAUAAUAAUUUAUUUUCUUUUUCUUUAUGGUUUGUUGAUUAUGAAAUUUUUGGAAGAGGUUUGCCAAGAAGAGAGUGGUGAGUAAGUGAGAUUGUCUUGCAGGCUGAAAGGCAGGCACCUCAUGUCCAGCCCCUCUCACAGUAGCAUAAGUAAUGUCUCCUUUAUAAAUCUCAGUAUACCCACCAACUUGAAACACAAACAUUCAAACACAAACACAACCAGAAUUCUUAUAAUCUGAUGUUCUGUUAGAGUAUGAAAAGCCUACUCCAACAGGACACUCCAGAAACAGAACAUUUGCAACUGAAAAAAAAAAAAAAGAAAAAUUAAAAUUAAAAUAUGCCCAAAAAGAUUUAUUGAAAUGUGCAUGAGAAAUGUAAUUGUUGGCACACUAUUAAUUUAAAUUUUGAAAAUUAAUUUUUCAGAGGGAAUUCAUUAUUUUUUAUAAAUAUUAUUAUUAUUAUUACAAACAGAUAGUCCAAUUCUUUAAGUUAUUUCAAAAGUAAAAUAAUUAAGGAAUUACCAUUAUUCCAUGAAAAUCUGUUCUUGUAAAGUGUUUUGCCAUCACUAUAUACUCGAAAUGGUCCAAGCUCUUGCAUCAACCCAUAAGCCAGAGAUGAACAACCAGGGCCUGUAAAAAUAUUAAUGAUUGCUUUAAAUAACAGACAGUAAUAUUAUACAUUCAAAUUAAAAUUUAACAUAAUAAAAAGAAUACUAUUUUCAGGAAAUAAAUAAAUUUAGAACACAAAAGGGAGAAAAAUGGAAAAAGAAUACACUAAAUACCUCCAUUUAGCCACAGAAGAAGAGGCAAAGAUUUCUUAGAAAUUUCUUGAGCUUCAGCAAAAUAAUAAUAUAAGGCUUUUCCAGCUAAUUUAUCCACAGUAACAUAACCUCCAUAUUGUGAAAACUUAACUUGAGGUUGGCCAGCCAAUCUUUUGAUCCUAUCUUUUUCUUUAUCUUUUUCAUUUUCUUGAUUUAUAGUAAUAAUAGAAUCAAUUGUCCUAAAGUUGCUUGUGUCCAUACCAGAAUUCCCAUUAAGCUUGGAUUUGUAAAGAUUGCCAAGAACUUCACUUUGCCUCUUGCUAUGGCUCUGAGAUGUUAAAUAAGAAAAAAUGAAAAAGAACAGGAAUAUCAAACAUGGGUUUUUCCCCAUUGCAGGAAAAGGUUUUAGGGUUUUUGAUUUUUUGGAAUUUUGUUUCUUGAAUCCAAAUAAUGUGUUUAUAUAAGUAUAGGGGUGUGCGUGUGCGCAAUGGAGAGAAAGUAUCUAUAGAAGGAUUUUGUUUUCUGAUUUUCUAAUUUAGAUCAAUAUUAGUUAUUAUUCCCUCCAUCUUUUAAAAUUAUGCUUGUUUCUAUUUUCACGCAAACUAAUUAAAUGUAAUUAAUAUUUUUGAAUAAUAAAUUUGACCUAUAGGUAGUAGAGGGUAAAAGUUUUUAAUUUUUAAAACUAAAUAAAUAAUAAUUAAUAUUUCUUUGUUUAUUUUAUUUUUUUUAUCAGUUUCAUUUCAUCUGUGGCCAUUUGGGUAUUCUAUAAUGUUUUAUAAGAUUCUUUAUUGACUCAGCUAGUUAAUUAACUUUGUUUUCUAACUAUAUGAUUUACAGACAAGAAUUGCUAUGGCAUUGCCCCAUGCCUGUGUGAGCUGCUACUAUGUUUGUUAUGCAGAAAAUCCUGACAACAGAUUAUUCGAUAAAACAAUCAAAGAACGCCAAGAAUUGAUAAAAUCUGGCCGCGAUGUGGUGGUUCCGACGCCUAGAGUACCCCGGCGGUUUGCAUCAUAGUUCAUAAGCCAAGGCAAGAUUUUUCCAGGAAAAUGUGCAGAAGCAAAUUAAAAUUUGUGGUCACAGAUUGAACAUACUGUCAAAAAUGUACUAUUACUAUAGUCCCUUUCAAUUUGGGGUCCAGUAAUUCAGAAUUCAAGCUAAUCAAGCUAGAGAUGAGACAAUUUAACAUUAUCAUAUUUGCAUAUUCAUUUUAGGAUAUUCCUUAUUCCUUGAUUAAAGAGUUCCUCCAUUAUUUUAUUUAUUUAUUUAUUUAUUUUUGUUCAGUUUUAUGGUAAAUUAAAAACACUUGCCAUAGUUUAAUGUAAUUUUAGUAUCUGUUUAUGCAAUCUCCAUAUGAGUUGUGCAUUUUAUAUUAAUCAAUUCUUUUUUUUUUUUUCCUUAUCAUAGUUAAAGAAUUAAAAUAUGGGUUUUUCUUAAAUAAAAUAAUGCUUAGAACAGAAAUGGUGUGUUAGGUUUGCCUUCAUUAAAAUAUUGCACAAACUUAUCAAAAAUCAAAACAAAAUAAACUAAAAAGUACAAAAUAGACUAUUUUAAAAUACUUCAUGUGCAAUCGUAGAAUGAUUGAGAAAAUAAUUUUUUUAAAAAUUAUUAAAUUAAGUAUAAUCUGAUUGAUUUCGUAAUUUUUUUAAAAAUUAUUAAAUUAAGUAUAAUCUGAUUAAAUUUUUUUCACCAACACCAAGGAUGCAAGUUUUUUUUUUUUGGAUAAUUACUAUAUUAUCCUUAAAUUUUUAUUAAAUACAUUAAUAAGGACUUCGGCUUUCAAAAUUACACUAUUUAAUCCCUGUAUUAUAAUUUUGUUAUACUAUAAGUUCAAACAGUUAGUUUUUUUAUUAAGCAAUUAUGAAAUAUCAAACACCCUUGAAAGUAACUACUAUAUAAGGACUAAAUAGAGUAAACUUAUGAAAAUUGAGAUCUUUAUUAGUGUAUUUCAUCAAACCAUAAGGACUACAUAAUAAUUAUGUUUAGAGGUUAUUUUUGACAUUUCACAGUCACUUAAAGGAAAAAAUUAACAAUUGUAUUUUAUAGUAUAAUAAAAUUGUAAUGAAGGACUAAAUAGUAUAAUUUAAAAUACUAAUAUCCAUACAUAUUCGAGUAAAACCUAGAGACUACAUCGCAAUUGCUCCUUUUUUUUUUUUUUUUUUUUUUUUUUUCCUAAUUGAAAUUAUAUUAGAGUUCCUCAUCAAAUUAGCAACUUCUAAAUAUUCAAAACAGAAAGAUGAAAUGUUUUAUUGAAAUUUGAAUUUAUAAUGUAAUAAAUACCAUCAAGAAAGUCAUCUUCAAAAUUGCAUAAAGCCAUCUCUCUCUCUUUAAAAAGCCAAAAAAGGUUUGAACUUUGAAGGAAUACAUUGAAUAGGACAGGCACUGUGUAUGUAAUCAUAACAUAUAGGAAACUCUUCAAUUAUUGAUUAUUUCUUCCAUGCUCAAAAAAUGAAGAUUUUAUCUAGUGGGUUAUGGAGUAGAUUAGAGGCCAAGACUUUGACUUUUCAUUGCCAUUUUGACUGUUUGUAUUAUAUUCCAACUCUACAAAACAAGAAACAUAAAAUAAUUAAUGAAGCAAUAAAGCAGAGUCCUUUCCAUGAAUGUCUCUCUCAAAUAAAGGCCAAUUAGGUACUUUUUUUGUUUUUUCUUUUUUGAUGAUGCUAUGGCUAGAAGGAUUAGGUGGAGAAGGAAUAAUUUGGAACAUUAACAAUAUAGCAAGAGGAAAAUGCAAUUCAUUUUCCAAAUCACAUAUGCUAAUUUCUUUUGAUUUAACUAAUUAUGAAUGCUUGUUUUGAUUUAGCUAAUUACCAACGCUUGAAUUGAGAUAAUAUUUAAAUAAAACUCUAUUUUCAGUUGCAAUUUCAAAUUUCGAAUAUUGAUCUUAUUUUUUAUUUUAUAAUUUAUAAAAAUUACAAAAAUAUUUAUUGUCUUACAGUUCAUUACAAGAAUUAAAAAAACCUACAAAAAUUCGAAUGUUGGAAAUUAUUAAUGCUAUUUUUCACAUGAUUAAUAUUUUUUUUUUUUGUGCAAUAAGACAAUAACUAUUAAUAUUUCAUAUUUCAUUUAGGCAUAUGGCAAUCUAAUUUAUUUAUAUUUUAAUUUGAAAACUAAAUUAUAAAAAAGGUGGAUCAAUGCCAAUAUGCAUUCACCCAAGAAGUGCAUAUAAAAAUUAAUAAUCUCAAAAAAAUAUAUUAACAAAAAAAAUAAUAAAAAAGAUCAUUUACAUCAUGUAGAUACAUCAAGCGAAAAACUUUAGCAAAUUCUAUAAUCAUUACUACAACGAGUAAUAAAGUAUAAAUGAAAAUAAUAUAUAUAUAUUUGGAUGCCUCAUGCAAGUAUUAAAAGAAAUAAAAGCAAAGAAAUUUUUAAAUUUUGAAUUUAUUCCAAAUAUGAAAAAACCUAUAUUUGCAUUUCUAGUAUCAAUGAAAGAUUCUAGUAAAGAGAAACUGCAAAUUCGCAUGCAUGGAUUAGUUUAUUCUCUCAUUUCUUGAAUUUCCAUACUCUGAUGUACUUGCUAUUGUGUGUGGUAACCACCUUCUUCAUUCCAACAGCCAGGCAAGUGAUUGAAGGUCGAGCACUUCUAGGAAUUCGAUCAAUGUUGAUGUCACUAGGGAGUUUUCGCCCUUUUCUUCUUUCAAUUACUCCAUGUGCAUAUCUAGAGGAGCUUGAUGAGGUAUCAUGGUCGACAGUAUAGCUCGAGAGAACAACUCCUGAGUCCUGAUCCAGAAUACGCAGCACCCCGUCUAUUCCACCGGCUACUAAUGCUGAUUUGUCAUUUGUCAGGUGCUGCAAAGAAUAUAUAACAUUUGGACUCACUCGUGUCUCCCAUAAUUGUCUCAUCAUCCUGCAAGAUAACAAUAAAAAAUCAAAUUGCAACCAUGGGCAGGAGCUCCUAUAACAAAUAUGCCAUAGUCAGUUUCGACCUAAUACUGAAAUAAGGCAAGAACAAAAUCAAUUAUCAGAGCAGCCAUUUUGAUAAUCAACCCUACAGAGUAACAGGAUAAAGCCUCUGUCAUGUUUACUUCUGCUACAAACUAGCUAUGAUAGUACAAGUCCUAGAACCUAUAUCACAGUUUCGCUCUGGAAGCCUACUCAAUCUGUGUAUGGAUGACAGGAUACGUCACAAGCAAAUGUCCUAGCAGCAGAGUAAAGAAAAGAAAAUAGCUUGUCAAUAUCUCAUUCUACAUUCACAUAGAGCGCAACAAUGAAGGCCACCGACAAAAAUUUAGGCUGGGUCAGAAUUCAAAGUACACUAACUACCCAGUCAUCAUUUUUAACUCUGGCAGAAACAUCUAAUUUAGUGAUUGAAAUAUCCUACUUAUUGCUACCACAGAUAUUAUAUUACGGAGGAAUGAAAAAUAAAAGUUAUUCAUCUGGGAACAGUGAAUUGAUACCUGAGGUCCCAACAAGAUGUAUAUCCAGCUGUUGUUCCAGCAAACACUAGAUGAGAACGAGGGUUGAAACAUAAAGUCUUUAUGCCUGUACCAGGAAGUUGAAUCAGAAAUUCAGAAUUAUGUCAAGUCGCUUGUAAUGUGCAGUGCAUUAUUAGUUAAAGAGAAGGUGCAGUGGAAAAUUUAUCAUGUCUCAAACUGGCAGAUUAGGAAUCAAGAAAAGCACUCAGAGCCUGAAGAAGAAGCUGCAAGGAAACCACUGUUUUUUUCUUAUGAAUAUCUCAUCUGUUAUUAACCAAAAGGCAAGAAAGCAACUGCUUAAAAAAAGGAAUGAAAGAAUAACUGUAAAGAAUGCAAGAACACAUGAUGAGAAUGCAAUCAUAAUCGUAGUUAUUCUUGAUAGAGUGAAAAACAGUACGACCUGUAGAAUCAGUGGAUCUCAGUGUAGCUGCCCACUUAUCAGAUGAAUAACCAGACACCAUGAUCCUCCCUAGUGACGAACCACUAAGAAUUAACUGAUCAUCCCCCAAACAUAAGCAAGUCACAGGCUCUGGAUGCAUCCUACAAUUUGGAGAUGAAAACAUAACCAAAAAGAAUCCAUACAGAAAAAAAUCUUUAAAAAAAUGUAAGAAAUCAGGUUCUAACAUAACAACAACAUAAUAAGAAUACAGUCUACUGUCUUCUAUUUCGCAGGCAUUCUUCUACUAAACAAUUUAUUCAUUUGCCAGUGUCUAAUAGUCUAUCCAUUUUUCGCACACGUCCAGAAAUUGAAAUGGCUUUCCAAGAAUUAAUUGUCUGACCAUAACAGACCACCUUCUCUUGUAUGUUCACUCAAGUAAUAGAAUUUAACAUCCGAUGAUCUAAUGCACGAAGCAUCCGAUGUUUGUGGGGCUCUAGAGGGGGUUGAUGAAUAACAUCCAAGAAAAUUUUAGCUGUACAUACCUAAUGAUUUUAGAACAUUUCCUACUGUACAUAUCAAAAACACGAGCUGUCCCAUCCUCACAUCCAACAACAGCUUCUGGAUCAAAGUAACUUCAAGCAAAGAAUACAUCGAGUUAUUGGUCUGCUCAAAAGAAACCACACAACCUUGCACAAAGUUGAAGUCUCAAGACAAUUCAACUGUGAAAUAAAUGAAUAUAAAAUCCAGUAUUGCUCCAAGAAACAUUAGCAUAAUAACAAAAUUUGCUUCUGUCCCGCAUGCAUAAACCCUUCAUAAACGUGCCUUCACGAGAGGGAAAUGUAGUCAUCUUUCCAUUUCGCCUCCAUAAGCAUAUUCGUGUGCCAACCAAACCAACAAUCUACAAGAACAUGCAUUAAGCAAUUGGGAUAAAAACAGACACAUUACAUCAAUGCCUCCCAAUAUGAGAUACUUCAGAAUAAUGACAAAUUACUAAAGGUACCUUGCUCUCAUCAAAAUCAAAGUCAAUUAAGGGGCUUGCAUCUUGGAUUGAAUAUUCUUCCAUACAAUUGUAUGUUUCUAAUGACCAGAGACGCAUAACCUACCAUGAUAGCUAUACAAAAGUCAGCACAAUUGAGUUAUAUAACAUAUAUCACAUUUUGAUUUAGGAGAACAUCAGAGAUAUGCCACAGAAGCAAUCACAUCAAAAUAAGUUUAAGUUCUAGAACAAACAUAUAGCUAGCAAGUACUUUAGACAACUUUUACUGGUGUCAAACAUGACAUACGAAACAUUGUGUGUGUGUGAACAGGUCGAUAAUUAGACUAAAGUCAUCAGUAACAGUAGGUUAACGCCACCAUUUCAAAACUAUGUAAAAGAGAAGGUCACCAAAAAUUCAAAUGGAAGGAUAUUAAAAGGUGUGGAAUCCCACCAAUAUUUCUUUAAUUUCUCCCACUGCACCCGAUUUGUAAACGAAUUUUUUAAAACUAAUCCAAAUAAAUGAGCUUGUUAAUUCACAAACUAAUCCACUACUCCAAAAUUGAGGUUGGCUAAAUGAGAUUACAAUAUCUAGUCGUCUAUCCAAGAAAUCAAACAAAACACAAACUAAGAGCUUGUUUGGCAUAAAUGAAUUCCAUGAAAUUUCAUGGGAUUCAUUGACAUUUACAAAGCCAAUUUUUCAAAUUUGGUAUAAAUAAAAAUUCAUUUGGAAUUCCAUGUUUUAAAUUCUACAGAAUUGGUUUUUCUUGAACCAAAUGCUACAAAAAUUGGUAGAAUUUGCAAAUGAAUUCUCAACUUUAAAGGAACAGAAGUUACUAAAGGUAAUGAAGUUUAAGUACAAGACAUCAAAACAUAUUUAGAAUGAAUUCUAUGAAUGAUCCAAGCAUGAAUUUCCAUUUAUCAAUGAAUUUUUUUAAUGAAAUUCAUUUGCAAAAUGGAAUGAAUUCCAUAUGAAAAUUAUUCCAAAACUAUGUAACAGAAAUAGUAGAGAGUCAUCCAAUAGAAUCUGCUUUAAUAAAAGGGUAAAUAACAAAUAUGACUUAUAAUAAAAAACCCACCUAUCAGACACCAUAUUUAAUUAAAAAAGUGAUCAUACCUUGUCCCCCACGCCAGUAAGAAGCAAGCCCAUCUUCAUUCGACACUGAUCAACCCUAAUACAAAGCAAGGUUAGAGAAUUAACAUAUACAAGCUGCAAACUCCUGCAUAUAUAUACCCACUAAAUAAACCCCACAUAUUACUCAAAAAAAAAAAAUCAACCUUUUAUUAUUUCGUCAUCUUUCCAUAAUAAAUUUGAUACCAUUUUUAUCAACUCAACAGAAAAAUAAACAUAAAAUUGUAUUCAGCUGAAAAUUAGCUGACAAGAAAAUAAAUGGGAAGAAAAAAAAGAAGAGGAGAAUUUCAAUAAUUACCCAAGUGAAUGGCCUUUCCAUUGGUCAAUAUCAACAGAAGAAGCUUGAACUAAAGAUUGUCUAUGAUGCUUCAUAGCUAGCUCCUCAAAGUACAUAUUUAAAGUCCUCUCUGAACCGCCAUCAAUAUUUGAAAUUCCUAAAUAAUUAUCCUUCUGCUGCUUCAAAUAAAGCGCUUGCAGUAACUUUGAUCCUUUGAUUAUUGUAUUCCUUUAAAUGCAUAAAAGAGAAUAAAAAAUAAAACAAAAUUAUACACAAAUAUUUGGGGAAGGCAGAGAGAAGGAGAGUAAAACAGAAUUUACCAAGAUUUGCAGACAGCAGAACAGCGAACGAGGUCAAAGAGGUCCAGGACUGAGAAUAUUAUGCAAAGGAUGUCAUGCUCCAAAAAUUGGAUAGUGGUCGGACCUCUCCAGCUCCUCUUCUUCGCCGGCGACCGCUUUCCGCCUGGUGUGGGGCUCAUUAUCUUCUCUGUGAACUGGGUUAAUCAAAUCAUAGAAGAUCAGAGGAAACGAGCGACUGAAAAUCUCACAAAGCUGGAAGGGUGAACGUCGGCAACGACACAAUAAACACGCUCACAAAAUAAACCCAAUAUCAGAUGUAUUGUCGUUUUUAGGUAAUAUAAUUUAUGAGUUUAAACAAAAAGAAAAAUACUAUUUAGUCCCUAGAAUUUCUAAAAUAAAUAUUUCAAUAUAAUAAAAAAUUAAAUUUUUAUUUAUCUAUGUAGUGCAAAAUUUAGAACGAAAGUGAGAAAUUGGGAUGUCUAAAUACAAGUAUAACAAACUGCCAAGCACAGGAUAUUUUUAAUGGUUUACUCAAAGUAAAUGCUUUCUUUACCAUUAACAAUUAUGCAUUUUAGGUCAAACACAAUACCCGUGAUUCAUCACAAGUAACGAAGAGUAUUUGAUUCAGUCAAUUUGGUUAAUUCGAUUGAUUCGGUUAAUGAGAUCGAUUUGGACCGAUGAAUAAAUAUUCGAUUAGAAGUUCGAUUAUUGAAAAACUAAUGCAGGAGCCGCGAGUUCUAAGGGAUAACUUUUAUUUCCCUCAGAGAACUUCAACUCCCCUUCUUUCAGUAGAUAAUUGGCUAUUUCUUUCUCGUUUUAUCCCUAUAGUCUAGGCAGUGGAUUAACAAGCAUUAUGCUUUGCUUUGUCUACCAAUUCCUGUAACUCCAGUUGAAAGAUGAGACAAGACUCUUAUUCUCCUCCCAUCUAUAUACCACAUGUGAUUAUGGGUUAAAGGUUAAAUUAAAAAUUAAUUUAACUGAAUUAAUUAAAUUAAUCAACUUUCAAAAUUAAGUCGUUUGAUUAAGUAUAUAAUAAAAUUAAAAAUAUUUUAUUUUUUAUUUUAAUUAAAUAGUUAUUAAAAUGGUUAAAUUCGGUUGAUUAAUCAAGUUUUCAUUUUAUUUAAUUUCAGUUUAGUUAAUUAAUUCCACCAAAACAGUUUGGUUAAGCAAAAAAAAUUUCAAUUAAUUUAGUUAAAUUAAUGAUAAAAAUUAAUUCGAUUAAAACUGUUCAAUUAAAAAUUAAUUCGAUUAAUUAAAUCAAACUAAAAAUUUCAGUUAAAAAUAUUACUUAAAUACACAAUUAGCGAAAUGCUGACCCGUAAAUUCACAAAUUACGAAAUCGUUUUCUUUUUUAUUUUUUCAAAAAUUUCCUUUUAAGUUUUAUCAAAUAGAAAAAAGAAAUUUUUUCAUUUUUUUUUAUUGAAACUUUUUUAAAUUCUUUAACUUUACAUGAAACAAAGGAUAUGUUUUUUCUCCUCUGGACAUUUUUAUUGGGUGGACAACAAUCCUGUUAAAGAUUGUCUUGUCAACUUCAAUUUGGAUAAAUGGGACCGCAAAUACCAGAAAAAGCUGUUUUCUUCACGUGUUUAUGAAAGUUACCAGAGAGUAGGAAGAAGAAAAUAAAUUGGUAUUGUACAAGAGUUAAAGUAAACGUCCUUUCUUGAAGAUUACAUAACUCUUCUUGGCCAUUUUAGCUUCUCGCUUUCAGUCACCAACCAAUUUUUUUGUUUGCUAUUGCAUCUUCCUUCCUUUGGAGUCUUUGAUAUUGCAACUCCCGUUUCAAUCACCAACCAAUUCUUCAACUGCUCGAAUUUUCUGCUGAAAAUUUUGGUCAUCCUCUCUUAAUUUGUGAUGGAAAUUGCAGUUGCUAUUGGAGGUGCUCUUCUAGCACCUGCCUUUGAGUCUUUGUUUCAUAAGUUAGGCUCCCAGGAUUUGCUCAAUUAUGCCCGUGAAGGACAUGUGCUGACUGAAAUCAACAAGUGGAAGGAGAUGUUGAAGAUCAUUUAUGGGGUUCUUGCGGAUGCAGAGGAGAAGCAGAUGGUGAGCAGGGCGGUGAAGACGUGGGUAAGCCAGUUGAGGAACCUGGCAUAUGAUUUGGAGGACAUUCUUGAUGAGUUUGAUUUUGAGGCUCGGCGAUCCAAGUUGAAAGCUAAACCUGUGACUGGUUCAAGUAGGGUACGAAAGCUCAUCCCUAAUAUUCGUGCUGUUAAAUUCAAUAGAGAGAUGGUUUCCAAGAUAAAGGGAAUUAGUUCCCAAUUAGCAAAGAUCACCUCACAAAGAAAUGAACUAGAUUUGAUAGAAAGUACCGGUAGUUUGAAGGAAAGAAUUCCUGCGACGUGCUUGGUGAAUGACGCCGAGAUUUAUGGGAGGGAGAAAGAUAAGAAGGCGAUUCUUGAACUUUUGAAUUCUGAAUCGACUGAUGGAAGGGUCGCUCUGAUUUCUAUAAUUGGACUGGGAGGUAUUGGUAAGACAACUCUAGCGCAGCUUAUCUUUAAUGAAGCUGGAAAGAAGUUUGAUUUGACGGCUUGGGUUUCUGUCGGUGAAGAUUUUGACGUGGUUAGACUUACAAAAAUAGUUCUUCAGUCGGUUGGUGGAGAUCUUACUUCCAACGAUUUUAAUUCGCUUCAAUUAAACUUGAAGGCAAGGCUGUCGGAGAAGAAGUUUUUUAUGGUUCUAGAUGAUGUUUGGUACGAGAAUUAUGACCAUUGGACAGACUUUCUUCGCCCGUUUGAGAAUGGGGCAAAAGAAAGUAGAAUUAUCGUCACAACUCGCAAUCUUGGCGUUUCACGGACGAUGGGUGCUAUUCAAAGUUAUACACUUAGAGUGUUGGAGAAUGAUGAUUGCCUGUCUGUGUUUGCCCAUCAUGCUCUUGGAGUAACAAAUUUUGAGGAGCACUUGGAUCUAGAAGCAACAGGUAAGAAGAUUGUGGAAAGGUGUCAAGGCUUACCUUUGGCAGCUAAAGCUAUUGGAGGUCUCUUACGAGGUCAACCAACUCGUGAUGCAUGGGAACAAGUGCUAAACAGCGGCAUUUGGGAGGAGAAAAGCGACAUUCUUCCAGCAUUAAAGUUGAGCUAUCACCAUCUUCCAUCUCAUCUGAAACAAUGUUUUGCUUAUUGUGCAAUUUUUCCAAAAGAUUACGAAUUCGAUGAGGAUGAGUUGGUUCUACACUGGAUGGCAGAGGGAUUUCUACAGCACGCACAGGAAAUGAAGCAAAUGAAACGCUGGGGUCAUCGAUAUUUCCAGGAUUUAUUAUGGAGAUCCUUUUUUCAACAUUCUACUGGCAAUAAAUCACGAUAUGUAAUGCAUGACCUACUCAAUGAUCUAGCUAAAUCUGUAAGUGGAGAAAUACGCCUCCAUUUGGAUGAUGAUGAGUUGAAGGGCAUAAAAUCACAUGCAAACGUUCGCCAUUCAGCGUUCGUUUGUCAUCAGUAUGACAAGUAUCAAAGAUUUGAAGACUUUUAUGAGAUGAGUAAUCUGCGAACAUUCUUAGCAUUAUCCACUGAUCGAUGGCGAGGGAAUUUUUUAUCUAUUAGAGUGGUGCAUGACCUAGUGCCAAAACUGAAACGUUUAAGGGUGCUAUCACUAGCUCGAUACCAGUUUGAAGAGUUGCCAAGUUCAAUUGGCGCCUUAAAGCAUUUACGAUAUCUUGACUUGUCUUACAACAGUGAGAUUAAAAGAUUACCUAAUUCACUGAGUGAUCUUCAAAACUUGCAGACACUGAAGUUAUGUGAGUGUCGGAAUCUUAUUGAGUUGCCCACAGGCAUUGGCGCUUUAAUCAAUUUGAUGCACCUCGAUCUUAAAGGCACGGAUGCUUUGCAGAGGAUGCCGUUGGGGGUAGCUAAUUUGAUAAAUCUUCAAACAUUGUCGAAGUUUAUCGUGGGAAAAGGAAGUAAUUGCCUUGGAAUUAGAGAGCUAAUGAAGCUCCCUCAUCUAGAAGUACAACUUCGUAUUGAAGAGCUACAGAAUGUGGCAAGGAUUGAAGAUGCGAAUCUCGUUGAUUUAAAGAAGAUUGAGAAUCUUGGUGAUUUGGCUUUGGUAUGGGCCCAUAAAUUGCGUGAUUCACCACGCGUAGAGGAUCAUGAAGUCCAGUUUCUCAACUUGCUAGAACCUCAUCAAAAGUUGGAAAGGCUUUCGGUUCAAUUUUAUGGCGGUAAGCAAUUUCCGUUGUGGAUAGGAGAUCCUGCAUUCACAAAUAUGGUGGAUCUAGAGCUCUUUAAUUGUCGGAAUGUUACGUCGCUGCCACCACUAGGUAGACUAUGUAAACUGAAAAAGCUGAGCUUCAAAGGCAUGGAUGAACUGCUAGAAGUAGGGCUUGAGCUUUCCCCGUCUCUUGAGAUUCUAGAAUUUACGGAUAUGUUGAAGUUGAAGCAAUGGGCUCACUCUGAUGACGUCAAUGAAGAGGUUACAAGAAAAUUUCCUAGAUUACGUGAAAUUAGGAUAAGGAAUUGUCCUAAAUUGGUUGUGACAUUGCCUACCUCCCUUCCUUCCCUUGAGCAUUUGGACAUUGAUGGAUGUCAAGAUAUUAUUCUCGAAAGUGUGCAUGAUCUAUGUUCCCUUCGAGCCUUGUCCAUUUGGAGUAUUUCAGCGCUUGAGAAUUUACAUCAAGUGGUUACGCAGUCCUUGGUGGCGCUAGAGUAUCUGUGGAUUACUGAUUGCAGCCAAUUGAUACACCUGUGGCGGGAUUCAACUUAUUUUGACAAACUUUCUUGCUUGAAAUCUUUACAGAUCCAAGGGUGUCAGAAGCUAGUGUCGUUGGUAGGAGGAGAGGAAGGGAAUUUGCCUUGCAAUCUUGAAAUUUUGUCGAUAUGGGACUGCGAUGAAUUGAAGAUUCUGCCAAAUGGGUUGCAAACCCUCACAUCUCUUAGAGAGCUGAAAAUCCUUCAGUGCCGAAACCUUGUGUCCUUCCCAUCUGCAGGUUUACCUUGUAGUCUUAAAAGUCUCGAAAUCAAAUAUUGUGAUUCUCUGGAGUCCUUGCCUAAGGGCAUUGUGCAUGAUAGUAACGCCAGGAAUGAGAUGUCUCAUCUUGAGGUUGUGCGUGUCAAAGGAUGUCCAUCUCUUACAUCGCUUCCAAUUGGUGAAUUUCCCUAUUCAAUUAAAAAUAUUGAAAUUUGCUUUUGGACGACACAACUUUUGGAUUCAUUUCAUAAUAGGUUCUCGCAUCUCACCGAAUUAGCAAUAGAUGACUCUCAGUUGGAGUCUUUCCCAGAAAGUGGAUUGGCCAUCCCCAACCUUUGCCAUUUAACCAUCGCCAACUGUCGGAAUUGGAGGUUGCUUCCCAAUCAAACCCCAAACCUUACUUCUUUAUCCAUAUGGCAUUGUGAGAAUUUGAGAUUUCUUCCCAAUCAAAUGCAAAAUCUUACAUCUCUUCAACGUUUAGAAAUACAUUACUGUGGAGGUCUUGUGUCCUUUCCAGAUGGCGGUUUACCCCCAAAACUAGGUAGUCUUAUAAUCUCGCAUUGCGAGAAUCUGAAACAGCCAAUGUCAGAGUGGAUACUCAAUAGACUCACCUCUCUCAUAAUCAGAGGGUCAUGUCCAAGUACAGAUAUGGAUUCCUUCCCAGAGGAGAAGGGCCUGCUGCUUCCCUCUUCCCUAACCUCUCUUAAGAUCGAAGAUUUUAAAAAUCUGAAAUCAAUAUCCAGGGGCAUUCACCAUCUCACCUCUCUUGGUGAUUUAAUAAUUCGAUAUUGCCCUAACCUCCAGUCCUUUCCCAAGGAAGGCCUUCCGACCACACUUGGAAGCUUGACAAUCCAUAGGUGUCCCCUCCUGGAAAGACGAUGCAGAAAAGAGAAAGGAGACUAUUGGCGCUUUAUUGCCAAUAUCCCCCAUUUCACAACUGAAUAUUCCAAACUCUAGAGGGAAUAGAGAAUGAAGGGAGCCCUGAAAUACAAUGAGGUAUUAAUCUUUUUACUUUUGCUUGCAGCUAAAACUAUAACUGAUAUAUGCAACAUUUUUAAGCCAAAAUAGAAUAGAUAUAAAAAAAUGAAUUGCUUCUGUUCAGAAUGGCUGUUGAUAAUCAAUUGGUGGUUGAGAAUCAUGAGUUCAUUAUAGCUAAAACUACAGGUCGUCUGCACUGAGAUGCAAAUGACUUGCAUUUGCAAGUGAAUUUGAGAUUUUAUAAGUAACUAUAAUGGCAAUGUGACUUUAUGGAGCAAAAUCUGAUUCUGAAUGAAAAAAAUUACAUCAAAAGAAUCUGUAUUUUUCAAAACCUAGUAAUAAUUUAUAUUCUUUUCUUUUGCUUUGAGGAGGCAAAUUUUUUUUCUUUUUCUUAUGAGACUGACCUAUAAACCAAGAUUCUUACUCCAUUUUCCAUGAACUCCUUGAGCAAGGGAAGAAUUGUUGAAGGGCUAUCUGUCCACCUAUCAAUAAUAUCACUACAUGGUUCCCAAUCAUGAUCAAGCUUAGUGACAUUGGCAUGCAAAGCUUCUUGCACAUCAGCCCUAUUGAAAUAAGCAUGCACAUAAUAGUCACUGCAUGGAUCAAAAUUAUCCAGCUGCAAGAUAAAACAAACCAAUUUUAGUUAUAUAUAUAAAAUCACAUUUCUGCAUCUAUAAAAAAAUUGUGUUAAUCAACUUACUGAAGCCUUCUUGGGGUGAGCUGUAAUAUUCUCAUCAAAGCACAAAGGAGCAUUAAUGUUAUAAAUGUCAACAGCUUGAGAAUAUUUGUCAGCCUUCUCAGUAGCUUCUCUGCACUCUUUGCAUGGAUGGUUGAUAUACUUGGGUGAGAAAUUACAGUGUUUUUAUAUUUUUUGCAGUGUUUUUGGUGAAGAUAAAACAUGGGUUGUAAAGAAAGUAUACAUUCCUAGAGUAUCUGUUUCAUCAUUUAUCACUGCAUUUCCAAUCUGCAUUUUCACAGAUAUAAACAUACGGUUAGCUUCAAUUUCAAUAAUUUAUAUGCACGGAAACUUCUAGCCAUGAACGUUUUAUGUUUCGGAAACGUUUCCACUUUUCCAGUAUAAAAUACCGUUUUUCCGAGUAAAAUUAUGUUUUAUAUGUUAGAAAGGCACAUACUGCAAUUCCUUUGAGGUUGAUAAUGGUUUUGUUGGCCUUCUUGUUGUAGUAAAGGAUGGUAUGUGCAAGCUGAGGAACAUAAUGGCCUGCAUAGCUUUCUCCAGAAAUGUAGAAAUCUCUUCCUUUAUAUUCUGGAAAUCUUUGAAGCCAAUUUACCAAAAACAAAUAAUUUUCUGUUGCUGUAUGUCUAUCNNNNNNNNNNNNNNNNNNNNNNNNNNNNNNNNNNNNNNNNNNNNNNNNNNNNNNNNNNNNNNNNNNNNNNNNNNNNNNNNNNNNNNNNNNNNNNNNNNNNNNNNNNNNNNNNNNNNNNNNNNNUUAAAAUAUGCCCAAAAAGAUUUAUUGAAAUGUGCAUGAGAAAUGUAAUUGUUGGCACACUAUUAAUUUAAAUUUUAAAAAUUAAUUUUUCAGAGGGAAUUCAUUAUUUUUUAUAAAUAUUAUUAUUAUUACAAACAGAUAGUCCAGUUCUUUAAGUUAUUUCAAAAGUAAAAUAAUUAAGGAAUUACCAUUAUUCCAUGAAAAUCUGUUCUUGUAAAGUGUUUUGCCAUCACUAUAUACUCGAAAUGGUCCAAGCUCUUGCAUCAACCCAUAAGCCAAAGAUGAACAACCAGGGCCUGUAAAAAUAUUAAUGAUUGCUUUAAGCAACAGACAGUAAUAUUAUACAUUUAAAUUGAAAAUUUAACAUAAUAAUAAUAACAAUAAAAAGAAUACUAUUUUCAGGAAAUAAAUAAAUUUAGAACACAAAAGGGAGAAAAAUGGAAAAAGAAUAUAUUAAAUACCUCCAUUUAGCCACAGAAGAAGAGGCAAAGAGUUCUUAGAACUUUCUUGAGCUUCAGCAAAAUAAUAAUAUAAGGCUUUUCCAGCUAACUUAUCCACAGUAACAUAACCUCCAUAUUGUGAAAACUUAACUUGAGGUUGGCCAGGCAAUCUUUUGAUCCUAUCUUUUUCUUUAUCUUUUCCAUUUUCUUGAUUUAUAGUAAUAAUAGAAUCAAUUGUCCUAAAAUUGAUAAAGCUCCGGCCUCGCUUCCUCUCUCUUCUUUCUUUUCUGGCGUAUACAGAAGGCGCAGGAGAGCCGCGACUUCCUUCGAUCCGGAAAUCCCGGCNNNNNNNNNNNNNNNNNNNNNNNNNNNNNNNNNNNNNNNNNNNNNNNNNNNNNNNNNNNNNNNNNNNNNNNNNNNNNNNNNNNNNNNNNNNNNNNNNNNNNNNNNNNNNNNNNNNNNNNNNNNNNNNNNNNNNNNNNNNNNNNNNNNNNNNNNNNNNNNNNNNNNNNNNNNNNNNNNNNNNNNNNNNNNNNNNNNNNNNNNNNNNNNNNNNNNNNNNNNNNNNNNNNNNNNNNNNNNNNNNNNNNNNNNNNNNNNNNNNNNNNNNNNNNNNNNNNNNNNNNNNNNNNNNNNNNNNNNNNNNNNNNNNNNNNNNNNNNNNNNNNNNNNNNNNNNNNNNNNNNNNNNNNNNNNNNNNNNNNNNNNNNNNNNNNNNNNNNNNNNNNNNNNNNNNNNNNNNNNNNNNNNNNNNNNNNNNNNNNNNNNNNNNNNNNNNNNNNNNNNNNNNNNNNNNNNNNNNNNNNNNNNNNNNNNNNNNNNNNNNNNNNNNNNNNNNNNNNNNNNNNNNNNNNNNNNNNNNNNNNNNNNNNNNNNNNNNNNNNNNNNNNNNNNNNNNNNNNNNNNNNNNNNNNNNNNNNNNNNNNNNNNNNNNNNNNNNNNNNNNNNNNNNNNNNNNNNNNNNNNNNNNNNNNNNNNNNNNNNNNNNNNNNNNNNNNNNNNNNNNNNNNNNNNNNNNNNNNNNNNNNNNNNNNNNNNNNNNNNNNNNNNNNNNNNNNNNNNNNNNNNNNNNNNNNNNNNNNNNNUGCAAACCAGUGGAUAUAUUAUGGGUAUUGAGUAGAGAAUUUUGAAUUCCUUGAGCUAGCAGCAAUGAAUUAGUUGGUCCCUUGAAUUUUAUAGUGUUUAGGAUGAAUAUGUGAAGUUGUAAACUAAGUUCUAGUAGGGUAGUGAGUUAGCUAGUGUGUAAAAUAUGAAAAUAACUUUUGGAUUUGGCAGCAGUUAUUUCAGUUUAUUUUUGUAAGUAAUUUUCAGCUUUCUUCUUCAUGCUAUGUGAUUUCUUGCGACUAGAUUAAAGAAUUUGAGCUUGGAUGGUAGUUGUGAUGGAGUUAGGGAUCUUAAAUACUGUUUAUGCGAGAUUAUUGAAAUAAAUUCCCAAAAUUUAUGCUGCCAUUGAUAUUAUAAAUUGAAUUUCUAUGAAGUAUAGUAUAAGAAUGUAACACUUGAAGAUAUAGACUUGAGAUUGAGCAUGAAUUUCUGUUUGUGAAGAGCCUUGGGAUUCAAAAAUGUGCUUAAAAUAAUUUGGGAAUUUUGAUAUUAAUCUCUAAUUGAAAUAUAAACUGAGAUUUAAUGUAAAAAUUGUUAGUUUAUAUGAAUUAAUAACCCCUUAGAUGGCAGUAGUUAGAUGGUUAUUUGUAUGAGUUUUGUUAUGAUAAGAAGCAAGUGAUGUUUUAUAUCUGUUUCUCGGUGGAAAUGAAUAAGUUACUUUUUUGUAAUGGCAGCAGCUAUGUUACUUUUUUUUUUUUUAUGAGUUUUGAUAAUAUUAAGAUGAGAACUUAUGUUGCAUAUCUGAAUCUUGGUGGAAAAUAAAACAAUUAGCUUAUGUAUUACAGGGGCCAAUCGCAAACUUUGCUAUUGUUCCUUAAUGGAAGUAUAACCUGGAAAUUGCAAAUGGAAUAAUAAUUACAUAUAGUUAUAUUAGAUUUUGAUUUAGCGAUUGAGAAAUUUUUUUGCAACGGCAACAGCCAUUCUUGUAAUUUGCUUGGAUUAUUGUCUUGAUAUGAGUUAUAUGAUGUUGUGAGUGAAUUUUGUGAUGGGGAAUGAAUUAAUUAUAUACGGCGUAUGAGUUUGGUGAAGUAAAACGAUGAUUUCUUGAAAUUAGAGGUAGCUAAGUGAGUAUUUCCCUAAUUAUGGAUUGUAGCAAGUCAAGAUAUUAGGUGCUUUAGUUAGUUUCACAUUGGUUACAAGAUAUUGGAAGUAGUUUCGUUUGGAAUAAGAUUUAAUCAUAAUAUUCUCAUUCUUUGUGACUGAAAGGAAAAAGGAAGACAUAAAAAUAGUUGAAUGUGAAUUGGAAUUUGAAAUUUUCAUUUUUAUUUUUAGAAUAGUAGCUUGAUGCAUUUUUAUUUGUUAUUUAUUUAGUUAGAUAAGAGAAUGAAUAUCAUACUUAUAUUUUUAGUACAAUAUGAAGGGAAUAGAAAUGUCUGUUUUUGUUAACUAGGCUAGUUAAAGCUAAUUGUGUAAAUAUGCUUAUAUAUAUAUAUAUAUACACAAGGAUUAAUAGAUGAUUUUAUUUAGAAUAUAAAUUAAAUUUUCAUUAAGAAUGUAAAUUAAAAUUUAUGAAGAAGUUGUGAUGGUUGGAUGACGAUGUUGGUAUUAAGAGGAGGUUGGGUAUUUGAUUUGAUUGAAUACCCAAUAGAUGGACUGUGUGUAUUGAUUGAAAAUAUUUGACAUUAUUAUGAUAUUUAAUCAGGUGGAAACUCCUAUUUUUAGGGGAGGUUCUGCUAAAAUUUCUGAUACGGAUCCGCCAUCAUUUAUCCAUGGAGCUCAAAGGAACAAGGAGAACAACAUGGAAAAUCCAUUAGUGCUUCCUAGUGGAUCAAUUACAAGAAGUUAUGCAAAGAAAUAUGGAACAACCAUAUCUUUAUACAUUCAAGAACAAGCUAUACAAGAGCUCCAUGACAUUGCUUCCAACAAGUGCUGUGUAGAACUUCAAGACAGACCUAAAAUUCUUGCACUAAUUGAAGCAUACGUUGAGGAAAACAAGAAGCAUGCCCGUGCUAGUUGGCACACCCAGACCGUGCUAGAGUCUGACUUGAGGAAGGAAAGCAAUAGCAUGAAGCACGCCCGUGCCAAACAGCACGCCCAAACCGUGCUACAUUAGCACGCCCGUGUCGGAUAGCACGCCCAGGCCGUGCCAGAGUCUGCCUCCAGCAAGAUUAGUUAGUUUAUUUUGAGUUUUAACAAUGUUAAUGGGUUGGGCCUCCUAUAAUUUGGCCACCUUUGGUUAUUUUAUCCUUAUUUUGUUUAGAUUUAGCUAAUCUUUAGUUAGUUAGGAUUUGUUAUUCCUAAAUCCUUAAAUUGUUGAGGUUUGUUACUCUUAUCCUUAGUUGGUUUAGAUUAGCUAAAUCCUUAUCCUUAGUUGAUUUAGAUUAAUUAUUCUAAAUCUUUAAGGAUCAGGACCUCUUAGAUUUAGUAUAAAUAGCUUGUUAUAUUGUAAAACAAAACACAAUUCAAUGAAAUAGAAAUUCUUCAAAUUUGUUCAUGCUUAGGCAUGUUCCUUUCAUUAGAGAGAUUGUGAGAGUGCAUUACUCUAAUUGCAUCAAGAAUCAAGGUAAACUUAUCAAUUUAUUUGUGGCGUUUAUCUUAUUCUUUUACUCUAUUAUUGGUGUUCUUGCUUCUUUAAGCUUUGGGUGCCAUAGAGGGGGAGUCUAGUUUGAUCUUUGAUCUCUUCCAAAUCUUAUCAUAGAGUUCUUGGAAUUAAUUUUCAUAGGGUUCCGCGUCAAUUUCUACAAAAUCUUGAAUAGUCAUACUUAAUAAAUAGGUUAUUAGAUUUAUUUAGAAUGAUUUCUUAUUCUGAUUAGGAGGAAUUCUUUAUUUAAUUUUUCUCCCCUUUCAAUUCUAAUUCAUAUAGAUAAUUCAAGAUUGUCUUAUGCUUUGAAAAAAAAAAAAAAAAAAAAAGAACUACAAUUAGAGUAUUCCCUUUCUUAUUGCCGCGAGUUAUAAUAAAUAGUAUAUUAUCAAUUGCAUCGUGUAUACAUACAUUAUUAUAUAAUAUUACAAUUUCUUGCUUAUUUAAUUAUUAUUUAUUUAUUUAUUUAGUUUAUAGUGUAAAUAUCCAUUAUUUUGCACUUGACUUAUAUAUGUGUAUAUUUGAACAUUUGCAUAACAAUGUUUGUUUAUUUAAUGUGCUUGCAUUUGAAUGCAAUGUUUAAUUGGAUGUGUUGUGAUGAUGAUAUGCUUUGUUUGCGUGGAAUUGAGACGAAGUGGGUCACCAUUGGGUUUUUUAGGGCGGUCUACGAUACCGUCAGUCAUAUACGGGGAGAUCGGCGCAACCGUGUGCAUCUGAUGAUAUGGAUUAUAUGAAAAACCACAGGGUGACCUCCUGUUGGUAUAGAAAGAAAAGAGAGCAUAAAAAAAAUUAGUGGGCUGGUCAAGUGAGAAUUAGACCGAUCGGCCAUGUAUGAGGAUCGGCCAUGUAUGAGGAUGAGACCAGUUGGCCAUGUAUUAGUGGUUGACAAUAAAUUACAUGUUCUGUUCAGUUGGUUCUAACUCAUAAUGCAUAAAUUGGAAAAGUUUCUGUAGGUGUUAGAAGUUGAAGAAUCUCACCUCUCACCUUGCAUAUAGAUGACAUUUUCUCAUGUCAGUACUUGAGUACUGCUAUUAUAGCUUUUGUUCUUCAUUGUUCCGACACUGACAUGAGCUGAUUUUAUACAUAUCAAAUCUUGGCUGCAAAUAAUGCAAUUGUUUCUUCAGACUUUCGGGACUGCUUAGGCCAGAACUCGAGAUUGUCAUAAUCGUCUCAAAUCCAAUCCCUGCUGAUAAGCAUAAAACUUUGAUGGAUUAUUUUCGAUGUUUUUGGUUUCUACAAUCUACAACUGUAAUUUUAUAAAGACUGCUAUUAGUUAAGCUUGCAAAGUUUGGUGAGAUACUCCAAAUUUUCUAUUGAUGUUUUAUUUUCAGAUGUUAUUCAGCCAGGUAUUUUCACUUGGCAUUUCUAAUCCUAGGAGGGGUGUAUGGGGGAGGCCUGUUGGUCGGGUUUAGAUGGAUUAGUUAUGUUAAGUUUUUCUGGAUGAUGGCUUUAAUAAUAAAAUUUAAUUUUCAAAAAAAAAAAAAAAAAAAAACACCGAUCUUGUUUUUGCUACAUAUGACUACAAUGAGCAGUUGUUACCAAUUUAUCAGAAAAGAAUUCUGUUUCCUAUGCUGAGAUACUUAUAUGAGCAUAUUUGUUUAUUUAUUAACAAAGAUUUAUCAGAGAAGAAAGUUUACAGACAUUGGUUGACAAUUUUUCAGAUGGAAAUUAUCCUUUUUUUUUUUAAACUGGAAUAGGGUCCAUCCUUCCUACAAAACACCCAGUCAAGAGUGAAUUUGAGAUUUUAUAAGUAACUAUACUGGCAAUGUGACUUUAUGGAGUAAAAUCUGAUUCUGAAUGAAAAAAUUACAUCAAAAGAAUCUUUACGUGUCAAAACCUAGUAAUAAUUUAUUUUCUUUUUCUUUUGCGUUAAGGAGGGAAAUUUGAACUAGAAUUUAUAGUCAGGUUAUAUAUUUAUUUACCACUACUCUAUUACGGCUUGUUGCGCAUAAAUCCAAUAAACUUAAGCCUAAUAAUUUGGCUAUUGUUUAUAAUAAAUUAACACAAUAAAAUUCUAGUAAUAAAAAAAAAAAUUGAGUUACAUAAAUUAUGAAAUUUUUGGAAGAGGUUUGCCAAGAAGAAAGUGGUGAAUAAGUGAGAGUGCUCUUGCAGGCUGGAAGGCAGGCACUUCAUGUCCAGCCCCUCUCACAGUAGCAAAAGUAAAGUCUCCUUUAUAAAUCUCAGUAUACCCACCAACCUGAAACACAAACAUUCAUCCACAGCAAAAAUAUUUAUUUCAAUUUCUUUAUUACAAUUUAUGAAUUAUAUAAUUAAUUAAAAUUUAAUAAAUAAUUAAUUUACCUCCCCAUUAAGGUAUCAAGGGUACCAUUCAGUUUUAAUAGGAAGCUUCAACUUUNNNNNNNNNNNNNNNNNNNNNNNNNNNNNNNNNNNNNNNNNNNNNNNNNNNNNNNNNNNNNNNNNNNNNNNNNNNNNNNNUUUUUAAAAUAACAGUUAUUCAUCAGCUUGUUGAGUGUUUCUUUUGGGUAUCCUAAAUUUAUUUUUAUUUAGGAUAAUUACAUUAAAUACUGCAUUCCUGGCGGUUAGUGUUUAGCUCUUCAAUGGUUGAUUGAUUAUAACAAUCUAAGGUAUAUUCGGCAAGAUUAUUUUAGUAGUUAUUAAUAGUUUUUCAUAAAAUGCUAAAAGCUAGACGUUCAGUGAGUUAAAGUUUUAUAAAAUACUACUUUAACCUUUAAAAAUUAGUUCAAACGUUAUGUUACCGAAUACUUUAAAAAUAACCGCGUUUAGCAUUUUAACUGAUCAAAACAUUAAAAUCUAUUUAAAAGGUUGUUGCCCAAAAAGUUUUAAGAUAUAAUCUAUGUAUCAUGGAAAUUAAAACGAAACAACGUAGAAACGCAGAAACAAACUGGAAAAUGAAAAAACGCCUAAUUAAUUUGGAGUUUCCAUACAUCAUAGAAUAUAAUAUUAUCUAAUAAAAAAAAGGUUUUAGUUAGGGGAUAUAAUAUGUUUUUUUUUCUUUUUCUUAUGAGACUUACCUAUAAACCAAGAUUCUUACUCCAUUUUCCAUGAACUCCUUGAGCAAGGGAAGAAUUGUUGAAGGGCUAUCUGUCCACCUAUCAAUAAUAUCACUACAUGGUUCCCAAUCAUGAUCAAGCUUAGUGACAUUGGCAUGCAAAGCUUCUUGCACAUCAGCCCUAUUGAAAUAAGCAUGCACAUAAUAGUCACUGCAUGGAUCAAAAUUAUCCAGCUGCAAAAUAAAACAAACCAAUUUUAGUUAUAUAUUUAUAAAAUCACCUUUCUGCAUCUAUAAAAAAAUUGUGUUAAUCAACUUACUGAAGCCUUCUUUGGGUGAGCUGUGAUAUUCUCAUCAAAGCACAAAGGAGCAUAAAUGUUAUAAAUGUCAAUAGCUUGAGAAUAUUUGUCAGCCUUCUCAGUAGCUGCUCUGCACUCUUUGGAUGGAUGGUUGAUAUACUUAGGUGAGAAAUUACAGUGUUUUUUUAUUUUUUGCAGUGUUUUUGGUGAAGAUAAAACAUGGGUUGUAAAGAAAGUAUACAUUCCUAGAGUAUCUGUUUCAUCAUUUAUCACUGCAUUUCCUAUCUGCAUUUUCACAGAUAUAAACAUACGGUUAGCUUCAAUUUCACUAAUUUAUAUGCACGAAAACUUCUAGCCAUGAACGUUUUAUGUUUGGGAAACGUUUCACUUUUCCAGUAUAAAAUACCAUUUUUCCAAGUAAAAUUAUGUUUUAUAGGUUAGAAAGGCACAUACUGCAAUUCCUUUGAGGUUGAUAAUGGUUUUGUUGGCCUUCCUGUUGUAGUAAAGGAUGGUAUGUGCAAGCUGACGAACAUAAUGGCCUGCAUAGCUUUCUCCAGAAAUGUAGAAAUCUCUUGCUUUAUAUUCAGGAAAUCUUUCAAGCCAAUUUACCAAAAACAAAUAAUUUUCUGUUGCUGUAUGUCUAUCGCCAGAAUUCUGAUAAUCUGAUGUUCUGUUAGAGUAUGAAAAGCCUACUCCAACAGGGGACUCCAGAAACAGAACAUUUGCAACUGAAAAAAAAAAAAANNNNNNNNNNNNNNNNNNNNNNNNNNNNNNNNNNNNNNNNNNNNNNNNNNNNNNNNNNNNNNNNNNNNNNNNNNNNNNNNNNNNNNNNNNNNNNNNNNNNNNNNNNNNNNNNNNNNNNNNNNNNNNNNNNNNNNNNNNNNNNNNNNNNNNNNNNNNNNNNNNNNNNNNNNNNNNNNNNNNNNNNNNNNNNNNNNNNNNNNNNNNNNNNNNNNNNNNNNNNNNNNNNNNNNNNNNNNNNNNNNNNNNNNNNNNNNNNNNNNNNNNNNNNNNNNNNNNNNNNNNNNNNNNNNNNNNNNNNNNNNNNNNNNNNNNNNNNNNNNNNNNNNNNNNNNNNNNNNNNNNNNNNNNNNNNNNNNNNNNNNNNNNNNNNNNNNNNNNNNNNNNNNNNNNNNNNNNNNNNNNNNNNNNNNNNUUUUCAGGAAAUAAAGAAAUUUAGAACACAAAAGGGAGAAAAAUAGAAAAAGAAUAUAUUAAAUACCUCCAUUUAGCCACAGAAGAAGAGGCAAAGAGUUCUUAGAACUUUCUUGAGCUUCAGCAAAAUAAUAAUAUAAGGCUUUUCCGGCUAAUUUAUCCACAGUAACAUAACCUCCAUAUUGUGAAAACUUAACUUGAGGUUGGCCAGGCAAUCUUUUGAUCCUAUCUUUUUCUUUAUCUUUUCCAUUUUCUUGAUUUAUAGUAAUAAUAGAAUCAAUUGUCCUAAAAUUGCUUGUGUCCAUACCAGAAUUCCCAUUAAGCUUGCAUUUGUAAAGAUUCCCAAGAACUUCACUUUGCCUCUUGCUAUGGCUCUGAGAUGUUAAAUAAGAAAAAAUGAAAAAGAAAGGGAAUAUCAAACAUGGGUUUUUCCCCAUUGCAGGAAAAGGAUUUAGGGUUUUUUGAUUUUUUGGAUUUUUGUUUCUUGAAUCCAAUUAUGUGUUUAUAUAAGUAUAGGGGUGUGUGUGUGUGCAAUGGAGAGAAAGUAUCUGUAGAAGGAUUUUGUUUUCUGAUUUCCUAAUUUAGAUCAACAUUAGUUAUUAUUCCCUCCAUCUUAUAAAAUUAUGUUUGUUUCUAUUUUCUCACAAACUAAUUAAAUGUAAUUAAUAUUUUUGAAUAAUAAAUUUGACCUAUGUUUCUCUUGAUAUACCCCCUAUUGUAAUAUUAGAUACCAUUUUCUUUUCUAGUAUAAUCAGGUAGUGUAAUUUUCAUCAGCCCCUGGGCAGUAGAUAAAAGUUUUUAAUUCUUCUUGUAAAUUGAGUUUUCAGAAAAUCGAACUUGUAUUAUCGCCCUUAUGGAGAUCGAGAUCAUUUACCGAUCCAAUCACAACCUUAUUGAUAAUUUUAGAAAUCACUUCAAAUAAAGAAUUAAGCGAGAAAAAUUUUAAUAAUAGGACUAUUAAAUAAGAGUAUAUAAAGAAAUUAGUUAUAUUUUCAAAAAAGAAAGUAACUAUAAUUUGAAACAAAUAAAAAAAAAAAAGGAAAGAAAACCUAUUUUCCAAAACGAGUCAUUGUCAAAAUAUACAGCUUUAUUUUCCAUAUAAGACGUUGGACUUUUAUUUUCCCUUGCUAUGACUUUGAUAUAUUAAAUAAUAAAAAUGAUAAAAAAAAUAAACUAGAACGAUUGUUUAAAAUUUUUAUUUUCAUCGGUUUGGUCUAUACAUAAAGGUUAUAGAUCUGAUUUAAGUAAGUUUCUACAGUUACGUAUAUAUGUGAUCAAGAGAGUGUUUUAAAAGAAUUUUAUUUUCUAAUUUCCUAAUUUAGUUGAUAUAUUAUUAAUUAAUUAUUAACCGUUUAAAUUUUAAAAACUACUUACCUACUACCGUACAUUCAUACACCAAACUAAUAAUUGAUUUCCUAAAUUUAUAUUCACUUACAGCUUAAUUUUUCCAUAUCAAACACUUGACUCAUUUGAACAAUGCAUUUACUCCUUUUUUUUUUAAUUCAAUCAAUAUUACAUAUAUUCAUCACUACUUGUACACCCAGAUUUUCAAGAAUCCAAAUCCAGAGAAUUUGCAAAUCAAAUAUUUAAUUCAAUGAUACCAAUUAAGAAAUAGAAGAAAAGAAUCACUUUUUAUACAUCUAGACACCCAAAUCCAGCACAAUUUGCAAAUUAAUAUUUAAAAGCGGUUUGGAAUAAAUGAGUUUCACAAAAUUUUGUGGAAUUUAUUUGGAAAUUUAAAAUUUUAUGUUUAGAAUGAAAAAAAAAUACAUUUUUGAAUUCCACGAAUUGAAUUCUAUGGAAUUGGAUAUGACAAAUUUAAAUUUACUAAAAUUGAUGGAGUUUGUAAAUGAAUUUCACAAAAUUGACCAUUAAAAUAUUUAUUGAUAAAAUUACCCUCCACUAUGAACUCAAUUAUUUUACCUUUUUUUUUUUCCUUUUUUGUAUACUUCUUUGGAAAAUUCCAAACUGUAAAAACAUUUUUUUAAUCCAAUAAUAACGUUAGGUUAUAUUUUUAUUUUUUUCCUUUUUUUUAAAAAUUCGAUCCUGUAAUGAUGUUUUUUUUUUUUAAAGUAUAGUAAUAAUGUUAGUUAUAAUUAUUAUGAAACUAUAAAAACAGAGUAUCAACAACAACAAUUGUUUUCAAAUGCAAUUAAAAAUAAUAGUAGCAUUUUUAAUAUUUUUUUAGUUUCCAAAUUAAUUUCUUAAAUCAACAAAAUUUUUUACAUCAAUUAAAAAUAAUUCUUAUGAUUAAUAUUACUGCUUAUACAAUUAAUUAAUUAGCAUGGAAUAUUGUACUUAUUUAUAUGAAAUUUAUUAUUUAUAUUUUAAUAAAAAAAUGACAAGUUAUUAUAUUGUACAUAAUAAAUAUAAUAGGUGUUUUUUAUUUAUUUUUGUUAAAUUGCUAUGUCAAUGGUGUUAUAAGAAAUAAAGACAAAUGAAUUUUUAUUUAAGAAUUUAUUCCAAACAUAAUUUUAUGAAAUUCAAUUGAAUUCCUUAUUUUAAAUUGUAGCAUACCAAACAUGAAAAAUUCAUUUCCAAAUGAAUUUUACUUGGAAUUCAUUUAUAAAUGAAUUCUACAAUCAUGAUUCAUUUGUUUCAAAUGGGCUAUUAGGCUCUAUUUUUUCUAUAAAAUAACUUAAAGGAAAAUAUUUUUCAUGAUUUUCCAUUGUUUGAGGCAUUUAGAAAAAUAAGUCAACGAAAAAUAUUUUACUCAUUUUUAAAGAAAUUGACUUUCCAAUUUUUAGAGAGAACAUUUCCAAAAUAUUGUCAAACCUAUGAUAACCUUAUAUAUCCAUAUUUUUUUAAUUUAUUAAUUAUUUAUAGUUAUUACCACCAGUUACCGUUCGCCACCAACUAUCGGCCACCACCAUUAGCUUUUAUAAUUUAUCUUUUUUGCAUUUUUCUCAUAUUUGAGAAUAAAAAUUUUUAAAAUUUCUAUUAUUUGGUCUUAUGAGUUAAAGAAUUUAAUAUUUUGAAUUAAUUUUCAAUAUUACAAUCAAACCAUGAAAAUAUAUCAUUUGAAAAAUUUAUUCAAUCAAAAGAUAAAUUAUUUUCAAAAAACAAACGUCUUAAUUCAAUGAUAUCAAGGAAGAACUACAAGAAAAGCAAAUGGAAGUUCUUGGUUUUGUCAUUAAGACCCUUUAAGUGAGUUUUACUCAUUUGCCUUUUCCAAAGAAAAAUAUUAUGUUAAAAAAUAUUUUUUUAGGGAAGUUUUUUUUUCCUUUUUAUAUGGUUUUAAUUGGGUUUUUUUUUUUUUUUUUUUUUUGGUGUUAUUUGUUUGUUUGUUUGUUAUAAGGUGGAAUAAUAUUGGAUAUGUAUUUUUUAUAUAUAUUUUAUCUUGUGCAAAUGUAGUUGUAAAUUAUUUAUAAUUUAAUAAUUAUUUAUUAAGUAUUCCCAUGAUAAUUCAAUCAAUUAUCAUAAUUCAAAAUGCAAAAAUUUAAAAAUUAUGAUAUCGGUUACAAUUUAUGAAUCUAAUAUAAUUGGAAGAGUACUUUCUAAAAUUGGCAGAUAAAGAUAUCUAAUAUUUGAAGAUAGUAACAAAUUGACAAAUUCUGAAAUUAAUUACAAUCCAAGAAAUAACAAAUAUUCUAAACCCUAAAAAAAUUAACUGCCAUCUCCUAAUUAAGGAAUGAUAAAUCAAAUUUAAAGCUAAUAUCUUUUAGUAUCAGGCAAAGGUGUGCCAUCGACAAAGUGUUUAAUUAGUGAAAGUGCUCUAAGAGGUUGAAAGCUUGGAACUUCAUGCCCUGCCCCUCUAACUGUAGCAAAUGUUAAAUCUCCCUUGUAAACUUGUGUAUAUCCUCCAACCUUCGAAAAAGAAAAAUACCCAAAAAGAAAAAAUUAUGCUACAUUUUUUGAAUACUUUUGAUAAAUACCAAAAAGAAAAAAUUGCUUAUACCUCUCCUUUGAGGUACCAAGGAUGCCAUUCAGUUUUGAUAGGAAGAUUCAACUUAUCAAUAGAAUAUAUAGUUGAAGUAAAGGGUACUCUUCCAUCUGUAUCCCCACUGCAUAACAACCAAUAAAAAUUUGCAUCAUUAAAUAAAGUGACCCAACUCGAACCCAUGAUAUUUGGGUCACGAAUUGAGUAAUUUUAUUAUGCUUUUGCAUAUGUCGAACCCUUGACCUUUCAGGUUAAAGUCAAGUAAUUUUUAUGUUUUUAUUAUGCUUUUGCAUAUGUCGAACUCUUGACUUUUCAGGUUAAAGUUUUUGCGCGUUUCGCAUCCAUAACCUUUAGGUGACGAGUCGAGUAACUUUAAUAUACUUUUCAACCCAUGAUCUCCAGGUCACAAGAUCAAUAAUUUUUUCUAUAUUUUUAUGUAUUUAGAAUCCAUGAUAUGAGUCAAGUAACUUACCUAUAUUUUCGCGUAUUUCGAACCUAUAACCUUCAAGUCAGAGUAAUUUUAUGAGUAAUUUUAUUAUACUUUUGCAUAUUUCGAACUCAUAACCUGCAGGUCAUGUAUCUCGAAUGCAUGACUUUCAGGUCACGAGUCACCGUUGCAUAUCUUGAAACCAUGACCUUCAAGUCAUGAGUCAAGUAACUUUAUUAUACUUUUACAUAUCUCCAUCUCAUAUCAUUCAGGUCACUGAUUCGAAUAACUUUAUCAUUACUCAAAAAGUACACACUUAGUAAUGAUUAACCAACUUACCUAUAUAUCCAGACACGAAGUCCAUUGGCCAUGAACUCUUGUAGAAGUGGAAGAACAGUAGCAGAGCUAUCUAACCAUUGGCUGAUGACGUCACUGCAGGGCUCCCAAUCAUGUUUAAGUUUUGUUACAUUAGCAUGCAUAGCUUCUUGCACUUCAGGUGUAUUCAAAUAUGCAUACACAUAAUAAUCACUGCAUGGAUCAAAAUUCUCCAACUGCAAUACAAAAUUAAUCAUACAAUUAUUACAUCAAACCUCUUUUUACAACAAAACAAUUAUUUUCCAUAGACCAAAAAAAAAAAUUACAAGCACUAAUAAUAAUUUACUUACUGAAGCAAUCUUGGGUUUGGCUGUGGUAGUUGGACUGAAGCAAAGAGGAGCAUAAAUGUUGUAUAUAUCAAGAUGAGAAAUGUCUCUUUCAAUUUGAUUAUUAGCUGAAAUGCAAGUAGCAGACUGACUUGUGGCAUUGGGGGAGAAGUCGCAAUGCUUCUUAAUAUUGUUGACAGCCUCAUUUGAAACUAGAGCAUGUCCAACAAAGUAGUCAUACAUUCCUAUAUUAUCAGUUUCAUCAUUAAUCACUGCAUUCCCAAUCUGCAAUUUUUUACAAGAACACAAUUAUUAAUUUCAAGAACAUAAUUAUAUAUGUAUCAAUGAUUACUUGGGAGAAAAAGAAACUUACUAAAAUACCCUUAAGGUUGAUAAUAGUUUUUUUGGCCUUUUUGUUAUUGUAAAGAAUAGUAUGUGCAAGUUGUGGAACAUAAUGCCCUGCAUAGCUCUCUCCAGAAAUGUAGAAAUCUCUAUCUUUGUAUUCAGGAAAUCUCUUCAGCCAAUUUACCAAGAAUAUAUAAUUAUCCUCUGCUGUUUUUUUGUCUCCAUUGUUAUCAUAAUCCGAUGUCCUAUUAGAGUAUGAAAAACCAACUCCAGCAGGCGAUUCAAGAAACAAAACAUUUGCAGCUGAAAAACAAAAGGGAAAAUCAAGAUCUUACAUUAUACUAAGGUCCUGUUCCGCAAAAUUAGAUAUUUUUCUACAAAUAUUUACAUUUAUUUAUUGAGAAGAAUGUUAUGUACCAUAAUUCCAUGAGUAUCUAUUUUUGUAAAGAGUUUUGCCAUCACUGUGUACACGAAAUGGUCCAAGUUCUUGCAUAGCGCCAUAAGCCAAAGAGAAGCAACCAGGGCCAGUAAAAAUAAAAAAAUAAAUAAAAUAAAUAAAUCUUUGGAAUUGGUUAUACGGUUCUUUUUUUUUCAAAUACUUAGACCGGAUCCAAACCAACGAGACUAAAGAUUCUUAUUGAAACGAAGGUAUUUCUAACCAUACAUUUUCUAAAAAUCAUUAGUUUCAUUGGUUUAGUCCAUAAGCAAAUCCAUGAACCCGGGUUAAGCAAGAUUUUUCCCUGUGAUCAAAUAUAUUAAACAUAUAAAAUUUAUUAACAUCACCAUCAAACUAAAACAAGAUGACAAAUACAUUAUAUCAUCAAAGAUCAAAUCAAAUGUUCUUAUGUCCCUUUAAUGUAUGAGUUCAAUGGAAUACGUUAAUGCUUAAUGACUAUAGAUUAUAGUAAUCCCAACCACCAUUAGUUUAAUUAAAUUAAAUCUUGCAUAGGAGUGAAGCAUGGGAUUGGAACCCAAGAUUGGGUGGCAACAUUCCAAUUGGCCAUGUUUUUUUUAUUUUUCUUCUUAUUAUUAUUAUUAUUAUUUUAAGGAAAGGAAAGAGGGGCGUUAAUACUUUUUUGCUAGAUGAUUCAUCAUAUAAUAUUCAUUGUAAAAAGAAAAUUAAACAAAAAUUACUUUUGUAACUAACCAAAAAUUUAUAAUUACAAUGUGAUUAUAAUUUUCUACUAAUAAUUAGCUAUAGCCUAAGUAGAAAAGAAAUUGACAAACAAAAGUGUGGCCUAGUGAGUACAAUUAUUGCAUGCAAUAAUUAUCUUUUUUUUUUUUUUUUUUUUUUUUUUUGGAAAACUGCCAGAAAUAAUGAUUAUUAACCGUUUAAAUUUAAAAACUAUUUACCAAUAAUUAUCUACCGUACGGUCGAACACCAAACCAAUAAUUGAUUUCCUAAAUUUAUAUUCACUUACAGCUUAACUUUUCCAUACGAGGCCUUGACUCGUUUGGCCAAUGCAUUUACCCCUCUAUUUUAUUUUUUUUCAAUCAAUAUUAUUUUUAAAAAUCCAAAUCACUUAUUAAUAUUUAGGCUUUGGUUGUUUCCAUAAGAUAACUUUCAAGAAAAUAUUUUUCAUAAUUUCCCAUUAUUUGAGGCAUUCAGAAAAACAAAUCAACGGACAAUAUUUUAAUCAUUUUUAAGGAAAAUGACUUUCCAAUUUCAAGAGAGAAAAAUAUUUUUUGGACAUUGACAAACUUAUGAUAACAUUAUACAUUUAUAUUUUUUAAAUUUAUUAGACAUUUAUAGCAACUGCCACCAGUCACCGUGUACCACCAACUAUCACUACCGGCCACCCUCGGCCACUAUCAUCGGCUUUCAUAAUUUACCAUUUUUUACAUUUUCCUCAUAUUUAACAAAUAAAAUUUUAAAAUAUGAAAAUUUUAUUGUUGUUAAUAUUUUUAUGAUCUUAUGAAUUAAAAAUUUUAAUAUUUUUAAUUAUUGAAACUAAACAAGAAAAAUAAGUCAUUUGAAAAAUAUUAUUUAAUCCAAAGAUAAUUUCCAGAAACAAACGCAUGCAACUCAAUAUCAGGGAAGGAAUACAACAAAAGCAAGUGAAAGUUUAUGGUUUUGUCAUUAAGACCCUUUAAGUGAGUUUUACUCAUUUACCUUUUCCCAGAGAAAAAUAUUAUGUUAUGGAAACUUUAUUUUCCUCUUUAUAUGGUGUUGUUCAUUUCAUUACAGCAAUUAUCAAUAAGAUAAUGUUUAACAAUUUUGAGAAUAAUAUGGUUAACUAUACUUACCUAUAUAUAUAUAUAUAUAUAUAUAUAUAUAUAUUACUUUUAUAUAAUCUCUUGAAAAAGGCCCACAUUAAAAAAAUUAAGUGUAAAAAAAAAAAAAAAGAAACUUUGAGCCGUUUGUGUAAAAAAAAAAAAAAUAUAUAUUUCUUUUUCAUAAUUAAGUGUAAAAAAAAGAUAUAUAUAUAUAUAUAUAUAUAUAUUUCUUUUUAGUAUCCUAAAAUUAUAUCCAUUUUAGGAUGAUUACAUUAAAUAUUGCGUUUCUAGCCGUUAGUGUUUAGCUCUUCAAUCGUUAAUUGAUUGUAAUAAUCUGAGUAAGCGUUGAGAUAUAAUCUGCAUUGUAUGGAAAUGGAAAUAAAAGAAUGUAGAAACACGGAAACGAAACGAAAAAUCAUAUUUAAAAUAUAAUUGUACAUGGAAAAAUGAUAUUUUAUAUGGGAAAACAGACGUGUAGAAAUGUUUUCGAAAUGCGAAAACAAAAUAACAAAACGACAUUUAAAAUGUUACAUGAAAAAAUAAUAUUUUAUACGGAAAACAAAGACAUUUUAAAUGUUUUCGAAACACGAAAAUCCUGUAACUAGGAGUUUUCUUGCAUCGUAGUAUGUGCAAGUUGAGGCACAUAAUGGCCUUCAGAUCAGAAUCAGAAAGAAAGAAAAUAGAGAAAGAGAAAGUAAAUAUUUAUUAUUUACAAUAGCUGAGUUGUCCAUUUCAAUUAUUGAUUUAUGCUUUGGGUGAGUAUCUAUUAAUCAGAUUGCAUAAUAUAAUUUUUAGUAUAUUGAUUCUCUUAAAUGGAAAAUGAAAUUUUAAAUCCGAUAUCUCUAUAUUCUAUGUUAUAAAAUAAAAACGGGAUGUUGCUAAAUAUAUAUUUAAAAUGGAUACAAUAUGUUAUUCAGUAUCUAUUAUAAACUUAAUGAGAAAAACAAUAUGUAUACUGUAUUUAUUUCAAAAUAUAAAUGCUUUGUAAGUGAUUGUUUUCUCCCAAAUCUUCGGAGCUGAAAUUAUUUAUCUGUGCUGUGGCAUGGGAUAGCUGCUGAUUUGUGCAACAGAUUCAAUGAACAUAAGGACAGAUCAUAACAUAUAUACGCUCCAUAAUAAUAUUGAAUUUGGAUUUUCUAUCAAGUUACCAAUACCCCUAAAUGACAUAUAAUGUAAUGAAUUUGACUUUUUGGUUUUAACUAAAUUUGGAAGCUUAACUAUUACCUUGACACCUUAUAAAUUAAUCCUACCUCUGUUUCAUAAUAUUUCUCGAAAAAAUAAUUUAUUUUAAAAUAUUUGUCGAAUUUACAGUUUCAAGAGUAAUAAUUUUUUUUCAUGUUUACCCUUUGUACAUGACAAAUAAUUAUUGCUUCAAUUUUUUUUAAAAAAAAUUUCUGUUUAUUUACUUUUAUCUCUGAUUGGACAAAUAUGAGAAUUGAAGAGUCUAAAAUUUAAUUUGAUGUUUAGAUAUAUUAAAUUAAAGGUAAUAUAGUUAAUUUAUUCAAUAAUUUAUUGUAAUCUAGACAAAUUUAAUGGUUUCUUAAAGGACGUGAAAUUUUAAAUGUGACAAGUAUUAUGAAACAGAGGUAGUACUCUCUCCGUUUUCAAAUAAUUGUCACAUUUAAGAAUUCACAUUUUUUUUUUUUUUUUAAAUCAUUCAAUUGGACCUGAAAAUUUUAAGACUUGGAUCAACACAAAUGGUUGGACCCAGUUUACAAUACCUAUCUUAGCCCAAGUGAAUACAAAGCAUUGGGUUGCCCCUCAGGCAAUGGUAAUCACAAGCUUACACCAUUUUGUGAAUUAGUCCCAAGCCUGAUAAUCAUACACAUAUUACUGUGAUUGAUAAUUAAGCAAUCAAUUUAAGAAUUAAGUUCUAAAUGUUCAAAUUUUUACAUUAGUUAAACUGUUUAAGAAGUAAACACUCAACAACCUAGUUCUUUAAUGUUGAAUUGUGUUUUCAAAUACCACAUUGGUGAAUAAUUAUUAGUUGACUAUGAGCUAGACUUAAGGGCCUAUUUGGCAAAAUGCUGUUUUAGGUAUUUCGAUAGCUAUUAACAGUUUUAGUAGCAUUUAGCUGUUCGAGUAACUUUUCAUAAAAUGCCAAAAGCUAAACUUAUGAUAUUUCAAGAGAGAAAAAUAUUUUCUAGAUAUUGACAAACUUAUGAUAACUUUAUAUAUUCAUAUUUUUUUUAAUUUAUUAGUCAUUUACAGUCGGCUUUCAUAAUUUAUCAUUUUUUACAUUUUCCUCAUAUUUAACAAUAAAUUUUUUAAAAUACGAAAUUUUUAUUGUUAUUAAUAUUUUUAUGUUCUUAUGAGUUAAAGAUUUUAAUAUUUUUAAUUAUUGCAACUAAACAAGAAAAAUAAAUCAUUUGAAAAAUAUUAUUUAAUCCAAUAAUUCAAUAUCAAGGAAGGAAUACAAGAAAAGCAAGUGAAGUUUAUGGUUAACUAUACUUACCUAUAUAUAUAUUUAUAUUACUUUUAUAAUCUCUUGAAAAAGGCACCCAUUAAAAAAAUUAAGGGUAAAAAAAAAAAAAAAAGAAACUUUGAGUGUUUCUUUUCAGUAUCCUAAAAUUAUUUCCAUUUUAGGAUGAUUACAUUAAAUAUUGCGUUUCUAGCGGUUAGUGUUUAGCUCUUCAAUCGUUAAUUGAUUGUAAUAAACUGAGUAAGCGUUGAAAUAUAAUUUGCGUUGUAUGGAAAUGGAAAUGAAAGAAUGUCAAAAUGCGGAAAUGAAACGAAAAACCAUAUUUAAAAUAUAACUUUAAAUAAAGAUUCAUUUGGAAUUUCAUGUUUUAAAUUCUGAUUUGGUUUUUCCUGAACCAAACGCUACCAAAAUUAGUAGAAUUUGCAAAUGAAUUCUCAACUUUAAAGGAACAGAAGUUACUAAAGCUACUGAAUAUUUAAGUACAAAAUAUCAGAACACAUAUUUGGAAUGAAUUCUACGAUUGAUCCAAGCAUGAAUUUCCAUUUAUCAAUGAAUUCUUUAAUGAAAUUCAUUUGCAAAUUGAAUGAAUUCCAUAUGAAUAUUAUUCCAAACACUAUGUAACUGAAAGAGCAUAUAGCGAUCCAUAUAGAAUCUGCUUUAAUAUAAAGAUUGCCUCCUAUGAACCGCUAACUCCUCAAAGCACAUGUUUAAAGUCUUCUCUGAACCGCUACUUAUAUUUGAAAUUCCUACACAAUUAUCCUUCUGCUGCUUCAAAUAAAGCGCUUCAAGUAAUCUGGGUUUUUUUCAGUGGGCUGGACGAUGGAUUUUUCAAAGGCCCAAACUUACAUUAUUAGACUAAUGUCAGUCAUAAGUGAUUAUUUUCUAAUUGCCGAUAAUUAAUUAGGAUAAUUCUUUCUUUCUUUCUUUCUUUCUUGCUUAUGAAAGUAACCAGAGAAUUGGAAGAAGAAAAGACAUUUAUUUGCAUUGUACAACAAGAGUCAAAGUAAAUGUCCUUUUUGACCAAGUCCAAUCCUGCAGCUUCCAUGUAAUUCUUGAAGAUUAUUACCUGUUUUUGUUUUUACAUAACUCUUCUUGGCCUCUUUAGCUUUUCAGUUUCAAUCACCAACCAAUUUUUUUGUUUGGUAUUGCAUCUUCCUUCCUUUUGAGUCUUUGAUUACUGCAACUCCACUUUCAAUCACCAACCAAGUGUUCAACUGCUCGAAUUUUCUGCUGAAAAUUUUGGUCAUCCUCUCUUUGUAAUGGAAAUUGCAGCUGCUAUUGGAGGUGCUCUUCUAGCGCCUGCCUUUGAGUCUUUGUUUAAUAAGUUGGCUUCCAAGGAUUUGCUCAAUUAUGCCCGUAAAAAGCAUGUGCUGACUGAAAUCAACAAGUGGAAGGACAUGUUGGAGAGCAUUUAUGGGGUUCUUGAGGAUGCAGAGGAGAAGCAGAAGCUGAGCAAGCCGGUGAAGAUGUGGGUAAGCCAGUUGAGGAACCUGGCGUAUGAUUUGGAGGACAUUCUGGAUGAGUUUGAUUUUGAGGCUCGUCGAUCCAAGUUGAAAGCUGAACCUGUGGCUGGUUCAAGUAUGGUACGAAAGCUCUUCCCUAAUCUUCGUGCUGUUAAAUUCAGUAAAGAGAUGAUUUCCAAGAUAAAGGGGAUUAGUUCCCGAUUAGAAGAGAUCACCUCACGAAGAAAUCAACUAGAUUUGANNNNNNNNNNNNNNNNNNNNNNNNNNNNNNNNNNNNNNNNNNNNNNNNNNNNNNNNNNNNNNNNNNNNNNNNNNNNNNNNNNNNNNNNNNNNNNNNNNNNNNNNNNNNNNNNNNNNNNNNNNNNNNNNNNNNNNNNNNNNNNNNNNNNNNNNNNNNNNNNNNNNNNNNNNNNNNNNNNNNNNNNNNNNNNNNNNNNNNNNUGGAAAGAAGUUUGAUUUGACGGCUUGGGUUUCUGUCGGUGAAGAUUUUGACGUGGUUAGACUUACAAAAACAGUUCUUCAGUGGGUUGGUGGAGAUCUUACUUCCAACGAUUUGACUUCGCUUCAAUUAAACUUGAAGGCAAAGCUGUCAGAGAAGAAGUUUUUUAUGGUUCUAGAUGAUGUUUGGAACAGGAAUUAUGAGCAUUGGACAAUCUUUCUUCUCCCGUUUGAGAAUGGGGCAAAAGAAAGUAGAAUUAUCGUCACAACUCGCAAUCUUGCCGUUUCACAGAGGAUGGGUGCUCUUCAAAGUUAUACACUUGGAGUGUUGGAGAAUGAUGAUUGCCUGUCUGUGUUUGCCCAUCAUGCUCUUGGAGUAACAAAUUUUGAGGAGCACUUGGAUCUAGAAGCAAUAGGUAAGAAGAUUGUGGAAAGGUGUCAAGGCUUACCUUUGGCAGCUAAAGCUAUUGGAGGUCUCUUACGAGGUCAACCAACUCGCGAUGCAUGGGAACAAGUGCUAAACAGCGGCAUUUGGGAGGAGAAAGCCGACAUUCUUCCAGCAUUAAAGUUGAGCUAUCACCAUCUUCCACCUCAUCUGAAACGAUGUUUUGCUUAUUGUGCAAUUUUUCCAAAAGAUUACGAAUUCGAUGAGGAUGAGUUGGUUCUACAGUGGAUGGCAGAGGGAUUUCUACAGCACGCGCAGGAAAUGAAGCAAAUGAAACGCUGGGGUCAUCGAUAUUUCCAUGAUUUAGUAUUGAGAUCCUUUUUUCAACAAUCUACUGGCAAUAAAUCCCGAUAUGUGAUGCAUGACCUACUCAAUGAUCUAGCUAAAUCUGUAAGUGGAGAAAUAUGCCUCCAUUUGGAUGAUGAUGAGUUGAAGGGCAUAAAAUCACAUGCAAACGUUCGCCAUUCAGCAUUCACUGUGAGUAUGACAAGUACCAAAGAUUUGAAGACUUUUAUGAGAUGAGUAAUCUGCGAACAUUCUUGGCAUUAUCCACAGAUCGAUGGCGAGAGAAUUUUUUAUCUAUUAGAGUGGUGCAUGACCUAGUGCCAAAACUGAAACGUCUAAGGGUGCUAUCACUAGCUCGAUACACGUUUGAAGAGUUGCCAAGUUCAAUUGGCGCCUUAAAGCAUUUACGAUAUCUUGACUUGUCUUAUAACACUGGGCGUAUAAGAUUACCUAAUUCACUGAGUAAUCUUCAAAACUUGCAGACACUGAAGUUAUUUAAGUGUGGGAAUCUUAUUGAGUUGCCCACAAGCAUUGGCGCUUUGAUCAAUUUGGUGCACCUCGAUCUUAAAGAUACGUAUGAUUUGCAGGAGAUGCCAUUGGGGGUAGCAAAUUUGACAAAUCUUCAAACAUUGUCUAAGUUUAUCGUGGGAGAAGGAACUAAUUGCCUUGGAAUUAGAGAGCUAAUGAACCUCCAUCAUCUAGAAGGACCACGUCGUAUUGAAAAGCUACAGAAUGUGGCAAGGAUUGAAGAUGCAAAUCUCGUUGAUUUAAAGAAUAUUGAGAAUCUUGGUGAUUUGGCCUUGGUAUGGACCGAUAAAUUGCGUGAUUCACCAUGCGAAGAGGAUCGUGAAUUCCAGGUUCUCAACUUGCUAGAACCUCAUCAAAAGUUGGAAAGGCUUUCGGUUCGAUUUUAUGGCGGUAAGCAAUUUCCAUUGUGGAUAGGAAAUCCUGCAUUCACAAAUAUGGUGGAUCUAGAGCUUUGGGAUUGGCGGAAUAUUACCUCGCUGCCACCACUAGGUAGACUAUGUAAACUGAAAAAGCUGAGUAUCAGAGACAUGGAUGAACUGCUAGAAGUAAGGCUUGAGCUUUCCCCGUCUCUUGAGAUUCUAAAAAUUGGGAAUAUGUUGAAGUUGAAGCAAUGGGCUCACUCUGGUGACGUCAACGUGGAGGUUACAAGAAAAUUUCCUAGACUACGUGAAAUUAGGAUAAGAAAUUGUCCUAAAUGGGUUGUGACAUUGCCUACCUCCCUUCAUUCCCUUGAGGAAUUGUACAUUGAUGGAUGUCAAGAUAUUAUUCUCGAAAGUGUGCAUGAUCUAUGUUCCCUCCAAACCUUGCACAUUUCGAGUAUUUCAGCACUUGAAAACUUACAUCAAGUGGUUACGCAGUCCUUGGUGGCGCUAGAAUAUCUGUCCAUUGGUAAUUGCAGCCAAUUGAUACACCUGUGGCAGGGUUCAGCUAAUUUAGACAAACUUUCUAGCUUGAAAUCUUUAUGGAUCCAUGAGUGUGAGAAGCUAGUGUCGUUGGUAGGAGGAGAGGAAGGGAAUUUGCCAUGCAAUCUUGAAUAUUUGGGGAUAUGGGAAUGCGAUGGAUUUGAGAUUCUGCCAAAUGGGUUGCAAACCCUCACAUCUCUUAGAGAGCUGGAUAUCAAUCGGUGCCGAAACCUUGUGUCCUUCCCAUCUGCAGGUUUACCUUGUAGUCUUAAAAGUCUCGAAAUCGAAUAUUGUCCUUCUCUGGAGUCCUUGCCGAAGGGCAUUGUGCAUGAUAGUAACGCCAGGAAUGAGAUGUCUCAUCUUGAGGUUGUGCGUGUCAAAAAAUGUCCAUCUCUUACAUCGCUUCCAAUCGGUGAAUUUCCCUAUUCAAUUUAACAAAUUGAUAUUUGCUUUUGGACGACACAACUUUUGGAUUCAUUUCGUAAUAGGUUCUCGCAUCUCACCACAUUAACAAUAUAUGGCUCUGAGUUGGAGUGUUUCCCAGAAAGUGGAUUGGCCAUCCCCAACCUUAGCCUUUUAAUCAUAGAACACUGUGAAAAUUUGAGGUUGCUUCCCAAUCAAAUGCAAAAUCUUACAUCUCUUAAUUAUUUAGAGAUAAAUAAUUGUGGAGGUCUUGUGUCCUUUCCAGAUGAGGUUUUACCCCCAAACCUUACUUCUUUAUACAUACGGAGUUGUGAGAAUUUGAGAUUUCUUCCCACUCAAAUGCAAAAUCUCACAUCUCUUCAAAGUUUAGAAAUAGUUGACUGUUUAGGUCUGGUGUCCUUUCCAGAUGGCGGUUUACCCCCAAAACUAGGUCGUCUUCAAAUUUUAAAUUGCAAGAAUCUGAAACAGCCAAUGUCAGAGUGGAGACUCAAAAGACUCGCCUCUCUCACCCGUCUCACAAUCGCAGGGCCAUGUCCAAAUACAGAUAUGGAUUCCUUCCCAGAUGAGAAGGGCCUACUGCUUCCCUCUUCCCUAACCUUUCUUGGGAUCGAAGAUUUUAAAAAUCUGAAAUCAAUAUCCAGAGGCAUUCACCAUCUCACCUCUCUUGAUGCAUUAGGAAUUCGAAAUUGCCCUAAGCUCCAGUCCUUUCCCAAGGAGGGCCUUCCGACCACACUUGAAAUAUUGAUUAUCGACAGGUGUCCCCUUCUGGAAAGACGAUGCAGAAAAGGGAAAGGAGACUAUUGGCGCUUUAUUGCCAAUAUCCCCCGUUUCACAACUGAAUAGAGAAUAGAGAAUGAAGGGAGUCCUCACAUACAACGAGGUAUUCAUCUUUUUACUUUUGCUUGCAGCUAAAACUAUAACUGAUAUAUGCAAUAUUUUUAAGCCAAAAUAGAAUAGAUAUAAAAAAAUGAAUUGCAUUCAAUUAUGUGGUGUUUCAAGUUUCAACCAUAUUACCCCAUUCUGUUCUGACUCUGAUAUGAGCUGAUUUUAUACAUAUCAAAUCUUGGCUGCAAAUAAUGCAAUUGUUUCUUCAGGUCUGCAAAAGCCUGGACUGCUUAGCCCAGGACUCGAGAUUGUCAUAAUCGUCUCAAAUCCAAUCCCUGCUGGUAAGGGUAAUUGUCAUAAUUUUAUAAAGACUGCUAUUAGUUAAGCUUGCAAAGUUUGGAUGUUUUAUUGAUGUUUUAUUUUCAGAUGUUUUAUUUUCACUUAGCAUUUCUAAUCCUAGGAGGGGUGUAUGGGGGAGGCCUGUUGGUCGGGUUUAGAUGGAUUAGUUAUGUUAAGUUUUUCCUGGAUGAUGUUUGUAAUAAUAAAUUUAAUUUUCAAAAAAAAAAAAAAAAAAAAAAAAAAAAAAAAAGAGAGUACAAUCCUGUUUCUGCUACAUAUGACUACAAUGAGCAGUUGUUACCAAUUUAUCAGACAAGAAUUCUGUUUCCUAUGUUGAGAUACUUAUAUGAGCAUAUUUGUUUAUUUAUUGACAGAUUUAAGGCUCUGGAAGUAUUAUUUAAAGUGAAGAAGUUUUACAGACAUUGGUUGAGAAUUUUUCAGAUGGAAAUUAUCUUUUUUUUUUUUUAUUUUUUUAUUUUUAUAAAUGGAAUAGGGUCCGUUCUUCCUACAAAACAUCCGGUCAAGAGUCAGGUGAUCUCGAACUACUUGCUAUUCAUGCAAACGACAGGUCGUCUGCACCAAGAUGCAAAUGACUUGCAUUUGCGAGUGAAUUUGAGUUUUUAUAAGUAACUAUACUGGCAAUGUGGCUUUAUGGAGCAAAAUCUGAUUCUGAAUGAAAAAAAUUACAUCAAAAGAAUCUAUAUGCUUCAAAAUCUAAUAAUAAUUUAUUUUCUUUUCUUUUGCUUUGUGGAGGGAAAUUUGAACCAUGAUUUAUAGUCAGGUUGUAUAUCCAUUUACCAUCACUCUAUUACGGCUUAUUGCGCAUAAAUUCAAUAAAAUUAAGCCUAAUAAUUUGUCUAUUGUUUAUAACAAAUUAACACAAUAAAAUUCUAAUAAAUAUAAUAAAAUUGAGGUACAUAGAUUAUGAAAUUUUUGGAAGAGGUUUGCCAAGAAGAAAGUGGUGAAUAAGUGAGAGUGCUCUUGCAGGCUGGAAGGCAGGCACUUCAUGUCCAGCCCCUCUCACAGUAGCAAAAGUAAGGUCUCCUUUAUAAAUCUCAGUAUACCCACCAACCUGAAACACAAUCAUUCAUCCACAAAACAUUUAUUUCAAUUUCUUUAUUACAAUUUACAAUUUAUAAAUUAUAUAAUUAAUUAAAUUUUAAUAAAUAAUUAAUUUACCUCCCCAUUAAGGUACCAAGGGUACCAUUCAGUUUUAAUAGGAAGCUUCAACUUUGCGAGUGAGUAUUGAGUAGAAGUAACAGGUACUCUUCCAUCCGUAUCACCACUGCAUGGUAAAAUGUUAAAAUGGUAAAAUGUUUUUAAAAUAACAGUUAUUCAUCAGCUUGUUGAGCGUUUCUUUUUGGUAUCCUAAAUUUAUUUUUAUUUAGGAUAAUUACAUUAAAUACUGCAUUCCUGACUGUUAGUGCUUAGCUCUUCAAUUGUUGAUUGAUUAUAACAAUCUAAGGUCUAUUCGACAAGAUUAGUUAUUUUAGUUUUUCAAAAAAUGCUAAAAGCUAGACGUUCAGUGAGUUAAAUUUUUAUAAAACGCUACUUUAACAUGUAAAAAUUAAUUCAAACGUUAUGUUACCGAAUUCUAAAAAAAUAAUAGCAUUUAGCAUUUUAAUUGAUCAAAACACUAAAAUCUAUUUUAAAAAUUGUUGCCUAAAAGUUUUAAGAUAUAAUCUAUGUUUCAUGGAAAUUAAAACGAAAUAGCGUAGAAACACAGAAACAAAGAAAUGCGAAAAGCUUAUAAUUUGGAGUUUUCAUACUUCAUAAAAUAUAAUAUUAUCUAAUAAAAAAAUGUUUUAAUUAGGUGAUAUAAUAUAUAUAUAUAUUUUUUUUUUCUUAUGAGACUGACCUAUAAACCAAGAUUCUUACUCCAUUUUCCAUGAACUCCUUGAGCAAGGGAAGAAUUGUUGAAGGGCUAUCUGUCCACCUAUCAAUAAUAUCACUACAUGGUUCCCAAUCAUGAUCAAGCUUAGUGACAUUGGCAUGCAAAGCUUCUUGCACAUCAGCCCUAUUGAAAUAAGCAUGCACAUAAUAGUCACUGCAUGGAUCAAAAUUAUCCAGCUGCAAAAUAAAACAAACCAAUUUUAGUUAUAUAUUUAUAAAAUCACCUUUCUGCAUCUAUAAAAAAAUUGUGUUAAUCAACUUACUGAAGCCUUCUUGGGGUGAGCUGUGAUAUUCUCAUCAAAGCACAAAGGAGCAUAAAUGUUAUAAAUGUCAACAGCUUGAGAAUAUUUGUCAGCCUUCUCAGUAGCUGCUCUGCACUCUUUGGAUGGAUGGUUGAUAUACUUAGGUGAGAAAUUACAGUGUUUUUUUAUUUUUUGCAGUGUUUUUGGUGAAGAUAAAACAUGGGUUGUAAAGAAAGUAUACAUUCCUAGAGUAUCUGUUUCAUCAUUUAUCACUGCAUUUCCAAUCUGCAUUUUCACAGAUAUAAACAUACGGUUAGCUUCAAUUUCAAUAAUUUAUAUGCACGGAAACUUCUAGCCAUGAAUGUUUUAUGUUUCGGAAACGUUUCCACUUUUCUAGUAUAAAAUACCGUUUUUCCAAGUAAAAUUAUGUUUUAUAUGUUAGAAAGGCACAUACUGCAAUUCCUUUGAGGUUGAUAAUGGUUUUGUUGGCCUUCUUGUUGUAGUAAAGGAUGGUAUGUGCAAGCUGAGGAACAUAAUGGCCUGCAUAGCUUUCUCCAGAAAUGUAGAAAUCUCUUCCUUUAUAUUCUGGAAAUCUUUGAAGCCAAUUUACCAAAAUCAAAUAAUUUUCUGUUGCUGUAUAUCUAUCGCCAGAAUUCUCAUAAUCUGAUGUCCUGUUUGAGUAUGAAAAGCCUACUCCAACAGGAGACUCCAGAAACGGAACAUUUGCAACUGAAAAAAAAAAAAAGAAAAAUUAAAAANNNNNNNNNNNNNNNNNNNNNNNNNNNNNNNNNNNNNNNNNNNNNNNNNNNNNNNNNNNNNNNNNNNNNNNNNNNNNNNNNNNNNNNNNNNNNNNNNNNNNUUCAUUAUUUUUUAUAAAUAUUAUUAUUAUUACAAACAGAUAGUCCAGUUCUUUAAGUUAUUUCAAAAGUAAAAUAAUUAAGGAAUUACCAUUAUUCCAUGAAAAUCUGUUCUUGUUCUUGUAAAGUGUUUUGCCAUCACUGUAUACUCGAAAUGGUCCAAGCUCUUGCAUCAACCCAUAAGCCAAAGAUGAACAACCAGGCCCUGUAAAAAUAUUAAUCAGCAACAGACAGUAAUAUUAUACAUUUAAAUUGAAAAUUUAACAUAAUAAUAAUAACAAUAAAAAGAAUACUAUUUUCAGGAAAUAAAUAAAUUUAGAACACAAAAGGGAGAAAAAGGGAAAAAGAAUAUAUUAAAUACCUCCAUUUAGCCACAGAAGAAGAGGCAAAGAGUUCUUAGAACUUUCUUGAGCUUCGGCAAAAUAAUAAUAUAAGGCUUUUCCAGCUAACUUAUCCACAGUAACAUAACCUCCAUAUUGUGAAAACUUAACUUGAGGUUGGCCAGGCAAUCUUUUGAUCCUAUCUUUUUCUUUAUCUUUUCCAUUUUCUUGAUUUAUAGUAAUAAUAGAAUCAAUUGUCCUAAAAUUGCUUGUGUCCAUACCAGAAUUCCCAUUAAGCUUGGAUUUGUAAAGAUUCCCAAGAACUUCACUUUGCCUCUUGCUAUGGCUCUGAGAUGUUAAAUAAGAAAAAAUGAAAAAGAAAAGGAAUAUCAAACAUGGGUUUUUCCCCAUUGCAGGAAAAGGUUUUACGGUUUUUAAUUUUUUGGAUUUUUGUUUCUUGAAUCCAAAUUAUGUGUUUAUAUAAGUAUAGGGAUGUGUGUGUGUGCGCGCAAUGGAGAGAGAGUAUCUAUAGAAGGAUUUUGUUUUCUGAUUUCCUAAUUUAGAUCAAUAUUAGUUAUUAUUCCCUCCAUCUUAUAAAAUUAUGCUUGUUUCUAUUUUCUCACAAACUAAUUAAAUGUAAUUAAUAUUUUUGAAUAAUAAAUUUGACCUAUAUUUCUCUUGAUAUACCCCCUAUUGUAAUAUUAGAUAUCAUUUUCUUGAUAUACUCCCAGGUAGUAGAGGGUAAAAGUUUUUAAUUCUCCUCACAAAUUGAGUUUUCAGAGAAUCGAACUUGUAUUAUCGCCUUAUGAAGAUUGAGAUUAUUUACCGAUCCAAUCAACACCUUAAUUAUUGCUAAUUUUAGAAAUCACUUUAAAUAAAAAAUUAAGUGAGAAAAAUUUUAAUAAGAGAAAUAUUAAAUAAGAGUAUAUAGAGAAAACCUAUUUUCCAGAAUGAGUCAUUGUCAAAAUAUACAGCUUUAUUUUCCAUAUAAGACAUUGGACUUUUUAUUUUGCCUCGCUAUGGCUUUGCAUAUCUCGAACCCAUGACCUUCAGGUCACUGAGUCAUUCUUGCAUAUAGGGGUGGCCACGGUUCCGGAACCGGCAGUUCCGGUUCCGGAAAAACUGGAAUCGGAACCGAACCGAAAAGGUCCGGUUCUGGUUCCGGUUCCGGUUUGGAACCGUCCGGUUCCGAUUCCGAUUCGGUGACAAAACCGACGGUUCCGAUCAGUUUUCCGGCGAAUCGCAUAAUUUUAAAUUUUAAAUUUUGAAGACCGGUUUAAAAAAAUAUAUAUUUGAACAUAAAAAAUUAAAAAAUACACCUAAAAAAUUAAAAAAUACUUCAAUUAAAUUUAUUUUUUUAAAGACUUGAACAUAAUUAUUUUUUUAAAAAAAANNNNNNNNNNNNNNNNNNNNNNNNNNNNNNNNNNNNNNNNNNNNNNNNNNNNNNNNNNNNNNNNNNNAAAAAAAAAAGACUUGAACUUAAUUUUUUUUUUAAAAAAAAAUUAAGUUGCCUACGUAUCCUCUUGGGGUUUAGAGGAAUCAAAGCCUACGUAGUUCUUACUUACCUUAUACCAAUUUCACCUCUUAUACCUUAAUUACUAUUUGCACCACCGGUUGAUGUUCCCAUUGAGGACCCAUCGUAUAAAUCAUAUAAAUCUUCAUUUUCUUUUGGAUUUUCUUGGGCUCUUAGUUCGGCCUUGCUCCAAUCAUCCACGCAUGAUUGUGCUUCUAAUGAAUCGGGUGUCAUACGAGAUCGUGUUUCAUCAAGUAUGUUUCCUCCUUGACUAAAAGCUUGUUCAACCGCAACAGUGGAGACCGGAGCUGCUAAAAUUUGUUUUGCAAGUAAAGAAAGAAUUGGAAAAGUAUUUGCGUGAUGACUCCACCAAUCUAAAAUUGGAAAAUCAGUAUCUGCAUAAUCAUCACCAAACUCAAAACAAGUGAUUAGAUAAUUUUCAAAUUCAGAAAAAGAACUGGAUUCCCUUGUUCUUUUUUGUCUUUGUAGUAAAACUUGUUGAGCAACACCAACACCACUUACCCUUUGUGUUGGAAAUUGUUGAAUAUUAGAUUGAGAAGAAGUAGAAGUAGAUGAACUAGAAACUUGAACAAAUUCAUUAUAUAAUUGCAUAAAAAUUUUUUUAACUUCAUUCAUUACUACAUUUAUAUUAACAUUAUUUUCUACAUCAAGAUUUAAUACUUCAUAAUAAAUAGUUAAAUAAUCACAUAAAACAUCAAGUUUACAUGUAGGAUCAAAUACAAUAACAACAAGAUAAAGGGUGGUAUAUUUUUAAAAUAAGAUAACCNNNNNNNNNNNNNNNNNNNNNNNNNNNNNNNNNNNNNNNNNNNNNNNNNNNNNNNNNNNNNNNNNNNNNNNNNNNNNNNNNNNNNNNNNNNNNNNNNNNNNNNNNNNNNNNNNNNNNNNNNNNNNNNNNNNNNNNNNNNNNNNNNNNNNNNNNNNNNNNNNNNNNNNNNNNNNNNNNNNNNNNNNNNNNNNNNNNNNNNNNNNNNNNNNNNNNNNNNNNNNNNNNNNNNNNNNNNNNNNNNNNNNNNNNNNNNNNNNNNNNNNNNNNNNNNNNNNNNNNNNNNNNNNNNNNNNNNNNNNNNNNNNNNNNNNNNNNNNNNNNNNNNNNNNNNNNNNNNNNNNNNNNNNNNNNNNNNNNNNNNNNNNNNNNNNNNNNNNNNNNNNNNNNNNNNNNNNNNNNNNNNNNNNNNNNNNNNNNNNNNNNNNNNNNNNNNNNNNNNNNNNNNNNNNNNNAAAUAUCACAACAAAUUGAAACACGAAUUUUCAUUUGAGAAAAUAAAAGCUCUAACUCUUUUUUUCCUUUAUUAUAUAAAGAAAUAAUAGUUCGUUUUACAGUAUUUCUUGGUACUCUUUUAGCAGAAGGAUUUAAAGCUUUUUGACAAUAAUUAUUAAAACCUACUUUUUCACCAAAACUAAAAGAUAAAUGUUCCAUAGAAAUCAUUUUUGCUAAUUCUUCUUUUUGUAUUUUUUCAGAAUAUUGAAAUAAAGAAAGGUUAGAAGGUGCGUACCCGGAAAUUUGUGUUUGAGACCGAUCAACUCCUAUUUUUGUUGGAUGUUUUGCCUCCAAAUGCUUCCAAAAUGAUCCAUAGCCACCCGCUUGUUUAAAUUUAUAAGAUUUUGCACAAUAAUUGCAAAUUACAUCGUACAUUUUCUCACCUUUGAAUUUUUUCGUGAAAUGAAUGGCGAAUAUGUCGGAAUUUUGCCUUGCUCUUCCAACAAUUUGUGCUCGUUGCUCUUGCUCUUGCUCUUCCUCUUCUUGUAAUUGCUCAUUAAAUUCGGAUUCUUGAGUUGGAAUUUCCAAAUUUUCAUUUGGAUAUCCCUUAAAAUUAAAUUGGUUGGGAGUGAAAUCAUAGAUGUCGUUUGUAGGGAUAGAUAAAUAUCGUGUUUCUCCAAUCUUUCCUUGCCCUUACCCGAAUUUGAGUUUCCUCCACUUGCCAUUAUAUGAUAAUAAGAUAUAAUUUGAAAAUUUUAAUAAAAAAAAUUAGAGAGAAUAAUAACUUAAUAAGAGAGAUUGUAGAGUAGAGAAGAAUAAUAUAGAGUAGAGCGUAGUAGAGUGUAGUAUAUUAUAGAGAGAGUAAGUAGAGAGAGUUGAGAUUUUUUUGUUAUAAAUUUGUAAAUAAAAUGAGGUAUUUAUAAUAAAUUCAAAAAAUUAUUUUUUCAAAAAUACCCUUGAAACUAGCCGUUAUGUAGCCGUUUAUGGCUGUUGGGGGUAAUUAAGAGAUUUCACAACAAAAUUAAAAAAAAAAAAAACUGGUCUGACAGUUUAUAACGGCUAACUCUGCUGUUUGUGGAAGUUGUGGAACAUAAUGCCCUGCAUAGCUCUCUGCAGAAAUGUAGAAAGCUCUAUCUUUGUAUUCAGGAAAUCUCUUCAGCCAAUUUACCAAGAAUAUAUAAUUAUCCUCUGCUGUUUUUUUUGUCUCCAUUGUUAUCAUAAUCCGAUGUCCUAUUAGAGUAUAUUAUGUUGGUGUAUGUGCAAUUAUUGCAUGGAAUAAUAGUUGGUGUAUGUGCAAUAAUUAUCUUUUUUUUUUUUUUUUUUUUUUUUUUUUUUUUUUUAUGAAAACUGCCAGAAAUAAUGAUUAUUAACCGUUUAAAUUUUAAAAACUACUUACCAAUAAUUAUCUACCGUACGUUCGAACACCAAACCAAUAAUUGAUUUCCUAAAUUUAUAUUCACUUACAGCUUAAUUUUUCCAUAUGAGGCACUUGACUCGUUUGGCCAAUGCAUUUACCCCUCUAUUUUAUUUUUUUUUCAAUCAAUAUUAUUUUUAAGAAUCCAAAUCACUUAUUAAUAUUUAGGCUUCGGUUGUUCCUGUAAAAUAACUUUCAAGAAAAUAUUUUUCACAAUUUCCCAUUAUUAGGGCAUUCAGAAAAAUAAAUCAACGGAAAAUAUUUUAAUCAUUUUUAAGGAAAAUGACUUUCCAAUUUCAAGAGAGGAAAAUAAAUUUAUAUAUUCAUAUUUUUUAAUUUAUUAGUCAUUUAUAGCCACUGCCACCCGUCACCGUGUACCACCAACUAUCAUUGCCGGCUACCCUCGGCCACUACCAUCGGCUUUCAUAAUCUACCAUUUUUUACAUUUUCAUCAUAUUUAACAAAAAAAUUUUUAAAAUACGAAAUUUUUAUUGUUGUUAAUAUUUUUAUGAUCUUAUGAGUUAAAGAUUCUAAUAUUUUUAAUUAUUGAAAUUAAAUAAGAAAAAUAAGUCGUUUGAAAAAUAUUAUUUAAUCCAAAGAUAAUUUCCAAAAACAAACGCAUGUAAUUCAAUAUCAAGGAAGAAUAUAAGAAAAGCAAGUGAAAGUUCAUGGUUUUGUCAUUAAGACCCUUUUAAGUGAUUUUUACUCAUUUGCCUUUUCCCAGAGACAAAUAUUAUGUUAUGGAAACUUUAUUUUCCUCUUUAUAUGGUGUUUUUCACUUCAUUACAGCAAUCAUCAAUAAGAUAACGUUUAACAAUUUUGGGAAUAAUAUGGUUAACUAUAGUUACCUAUAUAUAUAUAUUUAUAUUGCUUUUAUAAUCUCUUGAAAAAGGCACCCAUUAAAAUAAUUAAGUGUAUUAUUGACAACUCACUCGAAUAACUCAACAAAAAGACUUUUGGAUUUGGCAGCAAUUAUUUUAGUUUAUUUUUGUAAGUAAUUUUCAGCUUUCUUCUUCGUGCUAUGUGAUUUCUUGCGACUAGAUUAAAGAAUUUGAGCUUGGAUGGUAGUUGUGAUGGAGUUAGGGAUCUUAAAUACUGUUUAUGCGAGAUUAUUCAAAUAAAUUCCCAAAAUUUAUGAUGCCAUUGAUAUUAUAAAUUGAAUUUUUAUGAAGUAUAGUAUAAGAAUGUAACAGUUGAAGAUAUUGACUUGAGAUUGAGCAUGAAUUUCUGUUUGUGAAGAGCCUUGGGAUUCAAAAACACUGUGCUGAAAAUAAUUCGGGAAUUUUGAUAUUAAUCUCUAAUUGAAAUAUAAACUGAGAUUUAAUGUAAAAAUUGUUAGUUUAUAUGAAUUAAUAACCCCUGAGAUGGCAGUAGUUAUAUGAUGUUGUGAGUGAAUUUUGUGAUGGGGAAUGAAUUAAUUAUAUAUGGCGUAUGAGUUUGGUGAAGAAAAACGAUGAUUUCUUGAAAUUAGAGGUAGCUAAGUGAGUAUUUCCCUGAUUAUGGAUUGUAGCAAGUCAAGAUAUUUGGUGCUUUAGUUAGUUUCACAUUGGUUACAAGAUAUUGGAAGUAUUUUCGUUUGGAAUAAGAUUUAAUCAUAAUAUUCUCAUUCUUUGUGACUGAAAGGAAAAAGGAAGACAUAAAAAUAGUUGAAUGUGAAUUGGAACUUGAAAUUUUCAUUUUUAUUUUUAGAAUAGUAGCUUGGUGCAUUUUUAUUUGUUAUUUAUUUAGUUAGAAAAGAGAAUGAAUGUCAUACUUUUAUUAUCAGUACAAUAUGAUGGGAAUAGAAAUGUCUGUUUUUGUUAACUAGGCUAGUUAAAGCUAAUUGUGUAAAUAUGCAUAUAUAUAUAUAUAUAUAUAUAUAUAUAUAUAACGAUUAAUAAAUGAUUUUAUUUAGAAUAUAAAUUAAAUUUUAUAAAGAAGUUGUGAUGGUUGGAUGACGAUGUUGGUAUUAAGAGGAGGUUGGGUAUUUGAUUUGAUUGAAUACCCGAUGGAUGGACUGUGUAUUGAUUGAAAAUAUUUGACGUUAUUAUGAUAUUUAAUCAGGUGGAAACUCCUAUUUUUAGAGGAGGUUUUGCUGAAAUUUCGACAAAAUCUUGAAUAAAUCAUACUUAAUAAAUAGGUUAUUAGAUUUAUUUAGAAUGAUUUCUUAUUCUUAUUAGGAGGAAUUCUUUAUUUAAUUCUUCUCCCCUAUCAAUUCUACUUCAUAUAGAUUAUUCAAGAUUGUCUUAUGCUUUUAAAAAAAAAAAAAAAAAGAACUAUAAUUAGAGUAUUCCCUUUCUUAUUGCCGCGAGUUAUAAUAAAUAGUAUAUUAUCAUUUACAUCGUGUAUACAUACAUUAUUAUAUAAUGUUACAAUUUCUUACUUAUUUAUUUAUUAUUUAUUUAUUUAUUAAUUUAGUUUAUAGCGUAAAUAUCCAUUAUUUUGUACUUGACUUAUAUAUGUGUAUAUUUGAACAUUUGCAUAACAAUGUUUGUUUAUUUAAUGUGCUUGCAUUUGAAUGCAAUGUUUGAUUAGAUGUGUUGUGAUGAUGAUAUGCUUUGUUUGCGUGGAAUUGAGACGAAGUGGGUCACCAUUGGAUUUUUGAGGGCGGUCUACGAUACCGUCAGCCAUAUAUGGGGAGAUCGGCGCAUCCGUGUAAAUCUGAUGAUAUGGAUUAUAUGAAAAACCACAGGGUGAUCUCUUGUUGGUAUAGAAAGAAAAGAGAGUAAAAAAAAAAAAUUAGUGAGCUGGUCAAGUGAGAAUUAAACCAAUCGGCCAUGUAUGGGGAUCAGUCAUGUAUAAGGAUGAGACCAGUCGGCCAUGUGUUAGUGGUUGAGAAUAAAUUACAUGUUCUGUUCAGUUGGUUCUAACUCAUAAUGCAUAAAUUGGAAAAGUUUCUAUAGGUGUUAGAAGUUGAAGAAUCUCACGUUGCAUAUAGAUGACGUGCUACAUUUUCUCUUCGCAGUACUGGAAUACAUUGAUUUUUUUUUUUUUUUUUUUUUUAAUCAUGAGUUCAUUAUAGCUUUUAUUCUUCAUUGUUCCGACACUGACAUGAGCUGAUUUUAUACAUAUCAAAUCUUGGCUGCAAAUAAUGCAAUUAUUUCUUCAGGUCCGCUAAAACCGGGACUGCUUAGGCCAGAACUCGAGAUUGUCAUAAUCGUCUCAAAUCCAAUCCCUGCUGGUAAGUAUAAAACUUUCAUGGAUUAUUUUCGAUGUUUUUGGUUUCUACAAUCUACAACUGUAAUUUUAUAGAGACUGCUAUUAGUUAAGCUUGCAAAGUUUGGUGAGAUACUCCAAAUUUUCUAUUGAUGUUUUAUUUUCAGAUGUUAUUCAUCCAUGUAUUGUCACUUAGCAUUUCUAAUCCUAGGAGGGUCUGUCCUUCAUACAAAACAUCUAGUCAAGAAUUAAAUGAUCUCAAAUAAUUUCCUAUUCAUGCAAAUCGACAGCUCGUCCGCACCGAGAUGCAAAUGACUUACAUUUGCAAGUGGAGUUGAGAUUUUAUAAGUAAUUAUUUGGCAAUGUGGCUUUAUGGAGCAAAAUUUGAUUUUGAAUGAAAAAAUUACAUCGAAAGAAUCUAUAUGUGUCAAAACCUAAUAAUAAUUUAUUUUCUUUUUCUUUUGCAUUGAGCAGGGGGAAUUUGAACCAGGAUUUAUAGUUAGAUUAUAUAUGCAUUUACCAUCACUCUAUUACGGCUUGUUGCGCAUAAAUCUAAUAAAAUUAAGCUAAUAAUUUGGCUAUUAUUUAUAACAAAUGAACACAAUAAAAUUCUAAUAAAAAGAAUAAAAUUGAUGUACAUAGAUUAUGAAAUUUUUGGAAGAGGCUUGCGAAGAAGAAAGUGGUGAAUAAGUGAAAGCUCACUUGCAGGCUGAAAGGCAGGCACUUCAUGUCCAGCCCCUCUCACUGUAACAAAAGUAAAGUCUCCUUUAUAAAUUUCUGUAUACCCACUAACCUGAAACACAAACAUUCAGUUUUAAUAGGAAAAUUUAACUUUGGCGAGUGAGUUGUUACUUCCAUUAAGCUUGGAUUUGUAAAGGUUGUCAAGAAUUUCACUUUGCCUGUUGCUAAUGCUAUGGCUCUGGGAUGUUAAAUAAGAAAAAAUGAAAAAGAAAAGAAAUAGGUUUUUCCCCAUUGCACGAAAAGGUUUUAGGGUUUUUGAUUUUUGUUUCUUGAAUCCAAAUUAUGUGUUUAUAUUAUGUAGACAGGUGUUAUGAGAGAGAAUAUAAUAUAUUUAAUUUUCACAAUUUUGGGGAAUCACUCCUUUUGUGGCCUCAUCAAGGGCCCUUCUUAAAAAUGGUCCCAGCUGUAUUUUUGUCGGUAAAGGAUGAUUUUAAUAUAAUGCUUUGUUGAUAAAGAAGACUUUAGUCCAUUCAUUAAGUGAUAUGCUCUACCCACUUUAGUUAGUGCUUGUCUACUCCAAAAUGUGAACCCCGUAAUGCCCCGUUUGUUGUUUUUCUAUUUUUCAAUUUUGAAAGAAAUACCUAUCGUUUAAAUUUAUUAUUUUUGUUAUUUCAUAUUUUUAAAACAAAAAAAAGAAUUGAGUGUCGAAAUUUAAAAGAAAAUUCACAAAAUUCAUUCUUUGUUUUUUAAUUCAAUUUCUGAAAAAUAAAUUUUAAUUUAGAAAAAUGGAAAUUGAAAACUAACAAGAUAAAAAUUAGAAACUAAAAUUAGGGUAAACACCACUUAAGGAUUCUUUGUUCCAACGGUAGGUUGGCAUCUAAUACCAAAAAGAUAAGGAAACUACUCAAGCAGUUGAUCAUUUUUUUAAUACAUCAAAAAAUCAUUAAAGGUUAUUACACAUCAAUAGGACAAUAAUAAUAAAAUAAAAAGCAAUGGUGCCAAAGAAAUUCGAGGCUUUAUAGGCACUCUUUGUUUUUUUUUUUUUACGUAAUAAUGGUAUUCUUUUCUUGAAGCUCAAGCGGGUCUUUUCAAUGGAGUAGGUGGGGACCUUAGGAAGGAACCAAUUUCUCUUCAUUCACUGAAAAUAGUCAUAAACACUAGAAAUGCCUGUUUAGCUUUUCAGUUUCAAUCACCUGCCAAUUUUGUGUUUGGUAUUACAACUUCCUUCGAGUCUUUGAUACUGCAACUCCACUUUCAAUAACCGAUCAAUUCUUCAAUUGGUCGAAUUUUCUGCUGAAAAUUUUGAUCAUCCUCUCUUUGUGAUGGAAAUUGCAUCUGCUAUUGGAGGUGCUCUUCUAGCACCUGCCUUUGAGUCUUUGUUUAAUAAGUUGGCUUCCAAGGACUUGCUCAAUUAUGCCCGUGAAGGACAUGUGCUGACUGAAAUCAACAAGUGGAAGGAGAUGUUGGAGAGCAUCUGUGGCGUUCUUGAGGAUGCAGAGGAGAAGCAGACGGUGAGCAAGCCGGUGAAGAUGUGGGUAAGACAGUUGAGGAACCUGGCGUAUGAUUUGGAGGACAUUCUUGAUGAGUUUGAUUUUGAGGCUCGUCGAUCCAAGUUGAAAGCUGAACCUGUGGCUGGUUCAAGUAAGGUGCGAAAGCUCUUCCAUAAUAUUCGUGCGGUCAAAUUCAAUAAAGAGAUGAUUUCCAAGAUAAAGGGAAUUAGUUCCCGACUAGAAGAUAUCACCUCACGAAGAAAUCAACUAGAUUUGAAAGAAAGGCCCGGUAGAAAGAGUGAAAGGAUUCCUGCGACGUGCUUGGUGAAUCAAGCCGAGAUUUAUGGGAGGGAGAAAGAUAAGAAGGCGAUUCUUGAACUUUUGAAUUCUGAAUCAAGUGAUAGAAGGGUUGCUCUGAUUUCUAUAGUUGGACUGGGAGGUGUUGGUAAGACAACUCUAGCGCAGCUUAUCUUUAAUGAAGCUGGAGAGAAGUUUGAUUUGACGGCUUGGGUUUCUGUCGGUGAAGAUUUUGACGUGGUUAGACUUACAAAAACAGUUCUUCAGUCGGUCGGUGGAGAUCUUACUUCCAACGAUUUGAAUUCGCAUCAAUUAGACCUGAAGGCAAGGCUGUCAGAGAAGAAGUUUUUUAUGGUUCUAGAUGAUGUUUGGAACGAGAAUUAUGACCAUUGGACAAUCUUUCUUCGCCCCUUUGAGAAUGGGGCAAAAGAAAGUAGAAUUAUCGUCACAACUCGCAAUCUUGCCGUUUCACAGACGAUGGGUGCUAUUCAAAGUUAUACACUUGGAGUGUUGGAGAAUGAUGAUUGCCUGUCUGUGUUUGCCCAUCAUGCUCUUGGAGUAACAAAUUUUGAGGAGCACUUGGAUCUAGAAGCAAUAGGUAAGAAGAUUGUGGAAAGGUGUCAAGGCUUACCUUUGGCAGCUAAAGCUAUUGGAGGUCUCUUACGAGGUCAACCAACUCGCGAUGCAUGGGAACAAGUGCUAAACAGCGGCAUUUGGGAGGAGAAAGGCGACAUUCUUCCAGCAUUAAAGUUGAGCUAUCACCAUCUUCCACCUCAUCUGAAACGAUGUUUUGUUUAUUGUGCAAUUUUUCCACAAGAUUACAAAUUCGAUGAGGAUGAGUUGGUUCUACAGUGGAUGGCUGAGGGAUUUGUACAGCACGCACAGGAAAUGAAGCAAAUGAAACGCUCGGGUCAUCUAUAUUUCCAUGAUUUAUUAUGGAGAUCCUUUUUUCAACAAUCUACUGGCAAUAAAUCACGAUAUGUGAUGCAUGACCUACUCAAUGAUCUAGCUAAAUCUGUAAGUGGAGAAAUAUGCCUUCAUUUGGACGAUGAUAAGUUGAAGGGCAUAAAAUCACAUGCAAACGUUCGCCAUUCAGCGUUCGCUUGUCAUCGCUAUGACAGGUAACAAAGAUUUGAAGUCUUUUAUGAGAUGAGUAAUCUGCGAACAUUCUUAGCAUUAUCCCCUAAUCAAUGGGGACAUAAUUUUUUAUCUAUUAGAGUGGUGCAUGACAUAGUGCCCAAACUGAAACGUUUAAGGGUGCUAUCACUAGCUCCAUACGAGUUUGAAGAGUUGCCAAGUUCAAUUGGGGCCUUAAGGCAUUUACGAUAUCUGAACUUGUCUUACAACGCCGGGAUUAAAAGAUUACCUAAUUCACUGAUAAAUCUUCAAAACUUGCAGACACUGAAGUUAUGUGCUUGUCGGAAUCUUAUUGAGUUGCCCACAGGCAUUGGCGCUUUAAUCAAUUUGAUGCACCUCGAUCUUAAAGGUACGGAUGCUUUGCAGGAGAUGCCAUUGGGGGUAGCUAAAUUGAUAAAUCUUCAAAUAUUGUCUAAGUUUAUGGUGGGAAAAGGAAGUAAUUGCCUUGGACUUAGAGAGGUAAUGAACCUCCCUCAUCUAGAAGGACAACUUCGUAUUGAAGAGCUACAGAACGUGGCAAGGAUCGAAGAUGCAAAUCUCGUUGAUUUAAAGAAGAUUGAGAAUCUUGGUGAUUUGGCCUUGGUAUGGACCCGCGUGAUUCACCACGCGAAGAGGAUCAUGAAUUCCAGGUUCUCAACUUGCUAGAACCUCAUCAAAAGUUGGAAAGCCUUUCGGUUCAAUUUUAUGGCGGUAAGCAAUUUCCUUUGUGGAUAGGAGAUCCUGCAUUCACAAAUAUGGUGGAUCUAGAGCUUUGGGAUUGUCAGAAUAUUACCUCGCUGCCACCGCUAGGUAGACUAUGUAAACUGAAAAGGCUGUGCAUCAAAGGCAUGGAUGAACUGCAAGAAGUAGGGCUUGAGCUUUCCCCGUCCCUUCAGAUUCUACAAAUUGAGGAUAUGUUGAAGUUGAAGCAAUGGGCUCACUCUGAUGACGUCAAUGUAGAGGUUACAAGAAAAUUUCCCAGACUACGUCGCAUUUGGAUAGGCAAAUGUCCUAAAUUGGUUGUGACAUUGCCUACCUCCCUUCCUUCCCUUGAGGUAUUGGACAUUCGUGGAUGUAAAGAUAUUAUUCUCGAAAGUGUGCACGAUCUAUGUUACCUUCAAACCUUGUCCAUUUCGAGUAUUUCAGCGCUUCAAAAUUUACAUCAAGUGGUUACGCAGUCCUUGGUGGCGCUAGAACAUCUGUCCAUUGAUAAUUGCCGCCAAUUGAUACACCUGUGGCAGGGUUCAACUGAUUUAGACAAACUUUCUAGGUUGAAAUCUCUAAGGAUCCAAGGUUGUGAGAAGCUAAUGUCUUUGAUAAGAGGAGAAGAAGGGAAUUUGCCUUGCAAUCUUGAAAUUUUGGAGAUAAUGUGCUGCAAUGGAUUGGAGAUUCUGCCAAAUGGGUUGCAUAGCCUUGUGUCUCUUAGAGAGCUGAAUAUCUGUCAGUGCCGAAACCUUGUGUCCUUCCCAUCUGCGGGCUUACCUUGUAGUCUUAAAAGUCUCGAUAUCAAAUAUUGUGAUUCUCUGGAGUCCUUGCCUAAGGGCAUUGUGCAUGAUAGUAACACUAGGAAUGAGAUGUCUCAUCUUGAGGAUGUGAGUGUCAGUGGAUGUCCAUCUCUUACAUCGCUUCUAGUUGGUGAAUUUCCCUAUUCAAUUAAAGAAAUUGAAAUUUGCUUUUGGACGACACAACUGUUGGAGUCGUUUCAUAAUAGGUUUUCGCAUCUCACCACAUUAGCAAUAUGUUACUCUAAGUUGGAGUCUUUCCCAGAAAGUGGAUUGGCCAUUCCCAACCUUAGCCGUUUAAAAAUCGCCAACUGUGGGAAUUUGAGGUUGCUUCCCAAUCAAAUCCAAAAUCUCACAUCUCUUCUCGAUUUAGAUAUACAUAGUUGUGGAGGUUUGGUGUCCUUUCCAGAUGAGGGUUUACCCCCAAACCUUCAAUCUUUACAUAUAUGGAACUGUGGAGGUCUGGUGUCCUUUCCAGAUGGCGGUUUACGCCUAAAACUAGGUCAUCUUAUAAUUUCGCAUUGCAAGAAUCUGAACCAGCCAAUCUCAGAGUGGAGACUCAAAAGACUCGCCUCUCUCACCUGUCUCACAAUCGAAGGGCCAUGUCCAAGUACAGAUAUGGAUUCCUUCCCAGAUGAGAAGGGCCUACUGCUUCCCUCUUCCCUAACCUCUCAUAAGCUCGAAGAUAUUAAAAAUCUGAAAUCAAUAUCCAGGGGCAUUCACCAUCUCACCUCUCUUGGUGAUUUAAGAAUUGGAGAUUGCCCUAAACUCCAGUCCUUUCCCAAGGAGGGCCUUCCGACCACACUUGAAUGGUUGAAUAUCUUCGAGUGUCCCCUCCUGGAAAGACGAUGCAGAAAAGAGAAAGAAGACUAUUGGCGCU